GGCUUCUUCGACCAUUUCAGCAACGUUCGAGUGCUGGACCUUCUCGGCUGCGUAGUAAGUCCUAUAGGACAUUCCUCCUUCCUUCGUCUUUGCAACCUGAGAAUGCUUAGGCUGGAGCAGUGCAAAGUAAAUCCUCUUGAUCAUCCUAAUUCUCAUUCGUCAGCACCGGAGGGACGACGAGAACCAAUACUUUUUGAUAACUUAUGGGUCUUGAAUUUAUACAACUCAAAUGCCGAUACGUUUCUUCUAGCAGGGAAAGCCUUUGAGCUCAUGCCUAAUCUCUUGGAGCUCGAUCUCAAAGAAGAAACUUCUCUCCUACACCUGAUAGCUCUGAAUGAACUUCGGGAGCGCAUGCACAAAUUGGAAGUUUUGAAACUAUCAGGGAACGUCAGUACUAACUUUUUGCCGAGGAGCCUAUCAAUGGCAAUCAGCCUCAAAGAGCUUAUUCUCAACAAUUGUAAGGGGUUAGAAUAUCUAAACCUCAGUCUCCCUGCAACAAUUGAAACAAUCAGCCUCCAAAGGUGCGCAUCGCUAAAAGAGGUGGAACUACUCGACCCUGCAGCAGCUCCUUUGCCCAACCUCACAACCUUCCGCCUCAGCGGCUCUAAGCUGAUCGCCGAGCUCUCCCUACAAGGAUGCCGUAAGUUGGAGAACAUAGACCUACAGGAAUUGAUGGGGCUCGAGGUGCUCGAUCUUUCAUGCACUGCUAUAAAAGUGGUGGAUAUCAGCAAACUCCCACAACUGAAGCAAUUAUUUCUCCUGGGAUGCGAGCAACUCCGUAGAGUAGUCUGUCUUCAUGAAACACAAAAGCUAGAUGUGCUGUACUUGGAUAACUAUAGUAGCGGCAGUGCUUGCAACGUCGAUCGGUGCCUUGAUUCCUUUCGAAAUCAAAGCUUACUUAAUUUUACUGAUGGAAUUAGUGAUGCUAAUCAAAGAUCAUUCCAAGCUCAUGUGGUCGUGAGGGAUGUUAGGCUCUUCCGGUCACUUGGUUAUGCCUUUCCUAAUUUAAGGAUAUCAAAAGCCCGCAGCCAUAUCCAUGUCAAGAGUUCUUCAACUAUUAAGAAAGGCAUUAAUGUUGACACUGUCACCAGAUUGAACACAAGUAUAACAUCAGCAUUAUAUUAUGUACAAGUUUUAGACAGAAUGAUAGAUCAUCGCCGUCGACAUCACCCACCGCCACCUGUAAUGCCCCUAAAUAAUCACAUAGAGUUUGAUGGAGGUCACGAUUAUCGAAUAGUUAGCGAAAAUGAAUUUAGACGUGUAAUGGAAUUUGCUCACUCUUUAUUUGUUCACGGCAACACGUCUAAUCUUACCAUGGACAUUGAAUUCGGAGAUCUCAAAUAUUUCCGCAUUGAGAGGUGCCCUAAUAUGAAGUUUAUCUUCCCUUGUUGGAAGGCGUAUGAUUAUUUGGUGGAAUUGGAGAGCAUAUGGCUCAGCGAACUUCCAAGGCUCAUUGCUUUAUUUAAAGGAGCGAAGAUCAAGCAAUUGAAGCAUAUUUACUUAGAGUUUUGUGCUAGGCUAGAAUAUGUAUUUCCCUCAUUGUCAGAGCUGCACAACUUAGAAAGAAUCAAUAUCCAUUAUUGCGGCAAUCUAACGGCCAUUUUUAUUGAUGAUGAUGAUAAUAAAGAUAAAAGAAGAGCUGCUCCAAUAAAGCUACUUCCGAAACUGAGGUCCAUCCAUCUGCAGGAGCUUCCGAAGCUACAACACAUAUACGAGCUAAACAUUUGUGCUCCAUCGCUGGAAGAGAUCAAGGUUAUGGGGUGUUUCAAGCUGAAAAAACUUCCUCUUUUCGGCCGGUCGGACGCUCGUUCAAUGAGAGCUGUGAAGAUUAGCUGCGAGAAGGAUUGGUGGGAUAAGCUACAAUGGGAUGGGUUAGAAUCCAACCACCACUCUUCUCUCUUCAACCCAAAACACUGUCCUUACUAUAAGAAGCCUAUGAAAGCUACAUAUUUAUGAAGCAUAGCUCUUCUCCAAUGUCCAUAUGCAAGGUGAACCAUCUCUCUCUCUCUCUCUCUCUCUCUCUCUCUCUCUCUCUCUCUCUCUCUAAAUAUGAAUUAUGUAUUUGUGUGUACGCACACGCGCGUGUGCUCGAUUGCGUGACUAUAUGUAUGUAUGUUUCCCGAGUUCUUCAUAUGCUUUUGAGAGAUAAGCUAGCCAUAGUACAGCAUGUCUUUUAUUUCCUAAUUAUUAUAGAUGUGAGCUUGUCUACGUGUGUAAAAAUAUUCUACACAUUUGAUUCCUUGAGACUUGAGUAAUGUAACUAUGCAAAUGUCCACUCGUGUGUUUGACUCUUUGAUGACAACAAGGAUAGUAUGUAUUAAUUUUUCUCCUCUUAUUUCAUAUUCUCAGGCAAUAUUUGGUUCAAAGAAUAAAGAAAGAAUAAGAAAUUUAUUCCUCUUAUUCUUUCAAACGGUGUUAAGAAUCGCUAAGAACUAUUAUUCUCCCCUUAACGGGUUAUUCUAGAAUAACCCGUUAAGAGGAGAAUAGUAGUUCCAUCUAUCGGGUGGAACAGACUAUUCUCUACCUUAUUCCUCUAUUAAUUUAGUUACAAAUAAUUAUAAUAAAUUAUAAUUAAUUAAUGCAAUUAAAUUUUUAAUAAUUAACUCCUACAAUUUAGAUUUACAUUAAAAUGAGUUUUUUUCCUUAAAGUGGCAAGUAAAGAAUCAUACUUUUUGUAGUCGCAGAUUGCUGCUUUUGCUGUGUGGCAAACCAAAUUAUUGAGUUGUACUAUCUUACUAUCUCCUUGUUAGGUUUAAACUAUUGUGGAAAGAAAAAUAGAAAAGAAAUUCAAGUACAUAUUUAUCAAUAGCUACAUAUACCAUAUUAUCUUAUUCGGUUUUAUUUUAAAAAAAAUUAUCCCUUCAAGUAAUUGGGUUGUAAUUUUUUUCAUUAAUUUUUAUACAAUUUUUUCUUAAAUGUAUUUAUUAUUUUUUUAAGAAGUAAAAUCUGAAAAAUGCCCGUGCGCAACAAGUGUGUUAUAUAACGAGUGAGGCUACUAUGCUAUCGGAAGCACGGAGCCUUCCGUGCUUCCAGCUCGUUUUCGAUGUUGCGACUUUCAAAUCGUCGAUCGGCUCCGUUAAACUUGAUCUAGAGUAUUUGAAGUACCUAGAAAAUAAAUUUUAUGAUUUUAUGAUAUCAUUUGCCUAGUGAACGAAGGGGCUCAAAAUCAACGGCUGAAAAUAAAAAUCUUACAAAAUGUAAUAAUAUGACAUUAAAAUUUUAAAUCAAAGAUAUUGAUCUUGUUUUAUAUAGUAUAAAGAAUUUUCUAUCAAAAUUUCACGUGAUUUGGAUAUUUCUACACCGUUAAACUUGCAAACGGCUCAUUACGGUCAUUGAAAUUUGUUGAUUUUGAGCCCAUUCAAUCACUAGGCAAAUGAUAUCGAAAAAUAAUAAAAUUUAUUUUCUAGGUACUCCAAAUACUCUAAAUCAAGUUUAACAGAGCCGAUCGACAAUUCGAAAGUCGCAACAUCGAAAACGAGCUGGAAGCACUGAAGGCUCCGUGCUUCCGAUAGCAUAGUACCCUCACUCGUUAUAUAACAACUAUUUUAUUUUGAAGUUAAUUGACCUAAGAAUAUAGAAGCAAAGAAUCUCCAACUCUACAUCACUAAUCUUUAAUUUGCUUUCAAAUGGGUUCAUUAAUUUCCAAAGUGGGAAGUAAAUAAUCAUACUUUUUUAAAUCUGAAGUUUGUUUUUUUGUUAAGUUGCUAGCUAAAUCGUUGACACGUGAAAAUUUUAUUUAAGACAAUUAUAUGCUUUAUAAUUAAAAAAAAUUUAGGCUAAUCAACCCUAGGAUAUUAAAGUAAAGAAUCCAUAACCCUACAAAUUUAAGUUUCUUUAAAAUUAGAUCCUUUCCAGAGUGGCACUUGGCAACUGAUGAGUAAAAAAUCAUACUUUUGUAACCGAAGCUUCUACUUUUGCCGAGUGGCAAGUUAAAUUAUUUACACGUGACAAUCUAACUUAAGACAAUUAUGCGUUAUUAUAAUUUAAAAAUAUUUAAUUUAUUGUGGAAAAUGUUGAAAGUAUGAAAGAAAUUUGAAUACACAAUUAAUAUAUCUAUCUAUAACUAUAUCUAAUAUUAUAAAAUGUUAUCCAAUCUUAUUUAAAGAAGGACACUACAAUAGAAUUAGGUUAUAGGGACACAUAUUUGGGAUAUUUUUGUGUACAUGUCCAAUUUGUAUCAAAACUUAAAAAAAUCUCCUCAUGCUUAAAUAUAAAGUCCAAUCCAACCAAAAAUAAAAUGUUACUCUACUCAACCCACCCCACCCAGCCCAUUCGGCCCGAUUACAAACAAAAAAGAAAAAGAAAAGAAAAUUCGAUUACCAUUUUUCCUUCUCCCCUCACUCAAUCGACUGAAAUUCUAGACGAAGGUCUCUUCCUCUCAUCCUCCUCCGCUACCGUAGCCAACGAGAUAGAGUUUCGGCGGCUGCUAAAUGCUUAAAUAAAUAUUGGUAAAUUAGCAGUACUUUUUUAGAUUAUAGCGACACUCUUUAACUACCACUAUAUACCUAGCGACCCCACAUAUAGCAACACUUUUUAAAAGUAUCUGUAAUUUAACCAUCAAUAUUUUUUUUGACCUAUACCGAUAUUUAAAAAUAUCGCUAUAGACUAUUUUUAUUGUAGUGGGAGCAAUGCUACCAUACACUCUGUUAAUAGAUCUAAACAUUACACUCAUGGACCUCUCAUGUCAUGGCUCUUAUUAUUCAUCUUGUCUUUUCAUUUUUUUAUUAAAAUCCAAAAAAAUUAUCAACCCUUAGAUUCAAGGGUAUAGUAUGUACACCUCUUAGGGUGUACAACUAGCAUUUUUGUUAAAACAAGAUUAGACAAAAAUUUUAAAAAAUCUUCUGUAAAUACUUGCUCUUUUACUUUUCUCUGCUUACUUUACAGAUCUAAAUUUUGUCUUCUUAAAAUUUCAGAAAUACUGUCUAAGAGUUACAAAAUUAAUGAAGAGAGCAAAAUUCCGUUGAAACAAAUUUGUUACGUGAUCAGUAUACCUGUCUGUAACUACAUCUACUCUAUAAUCUUAUCCAAUCAUAUUUUUUUUAAAAAAAACCUAUUUUUGUAAAUAAUUAGGCCCUAAUUCUUCAUAAAAUUUCAUAAAUAGAUUGUUUUGUUAAACUAAUUUAUUAUUUUUUUAAAAAAAAUACUAGUGUGCAAUGCACGGGUUAAUUACAUGCUUAUUUUGAAAUUAAUCAACCCCCAAAUAUUGAAGCAAAGAAAAUCCCAACACUGCACCUUAAUUUUGUUUUAAAACAUGUUCCUUUCCAAAAUGACAAGGCAAAAAUCAUACUUUUGUAGCAGAAUCAUUUACUUUUGCCAAAUAGCAAUCCAAAUUACUGACACAUGACAAUCUGAAUUAAAACAAAAAUAUUAUUCAUUUGCAACAUUCGGUUUAACAACUAGUUUAGUUUGAAAUUAAUCAACCCAAGAUUAUCGAAACAAAGAGUCAAGUCUCCAACCCUAUAUCUUUCUUGAGUAAACAGGGAUAUACCCCAUUUGGGAUUCAAAACAAAAACGAAGUAAACAAAACAGAACAAAACAACAACCUCAUUUGCCGAUCAUGAUCCCCUACUCAUAAGAACGAGCUAAGCAAGCUAAGCAAAACUAACAAAACGUCAACCCCUUAGGCAGAUCAUGAUCACCCACACAAUGAACACAACAAUACUACAGCUGCAAAAGGGAUCUUGGAAAAGGACAGACUCAUUGUUUGGAAAAAGACAGUGGUCUCAGCUCAUGAACACCGAAGUCCAUAGCUUCACCGUGUCGAGUAUCCCCUUCCCCAGUUCGUCGCUUCGAGUUGCCCGAUCAUUGAAAAUUCUCGUGUUUCUCUGCUUCCAUAAUUCCCAGCAGGCUGCAGCAAAGCACAAAUCAAAGCGGGUUAAUUGCCGCCCCCUCAAAGUCCUUCUAGAACAGUACCACCGAGUAGCUAAGUCGCCUGGAAGGUUAGACACCAGCAAGUGAUGUGAGUUUGAAGCACCUCGAUUGAUCCGGGUCCACACAGAUCUCGCAUAGGCGCAGGAAAAGAACAAAUGUUCAAGAUUCUCAACAUGGUUCCAACCCUAUAUCUUUAAUUUGCUUUAAAAUGGAUUCCUUACCUGCAGAGUAAAGAAUAAUAUAUACUUUGUUGCUGAAGCUUCUGCUUCUACCAAGUGGCAGUCGAAAUUGUUGACGUGUGGCAAUCUGAUUUAAGGCAAUUAUUUUUUUAUAAUUAAAAAGGUUUAAACUAUCUCUAAAAAUAGGAUGAAAAUUUGGGAUAGCAAUCAACAUAGUCUUAUCCAACCUUUCUUAAUUAAAUUAUCUCUAAAAAUAAUUAGGUUUUAAAUUUGUUAUAACCGAAAAUCAAUUUAUUAUUUUUUUAAAAAAAUAAAACUUUAACAAUUUCUGUGUGCAAACGCACGAGUUAGAGACUAGUUUAUUUUGAAAUUAAUUGAUCCAAGACUACAAAUCAAAGAAUCUCAAACUCUAUAUCUUUAGUUUGCUUUAAAAUGGGUUCUUUUCUAAAGUGUCGAGCAAAGAAUGAAGCAUGCCAAACUAUCAGCAUAUGAGAGUCUUAUUUAAGACAAAUAGUUAAUACAUUUGGUAUGCAACUAGUAAAUCUAUUAAUUUGUAGCUGCAUAUAUCUUUGAUUUAAUUAAUUUGUUCGAGUGGUGAACUCCUACAUACAAUGGGAUGCUUCUUUGUUGCUUCAAUGGAAUGCACAAAUUGUUUAAAAAUAGGAAGAAUUAAUGCACCUUGUGCAUAUGCAUUGGUAUAGCAAGAUUCCUUGGAGCUAUAAUGUAUUAAUUAACUAAUCAGCCCAAGGAUAUAGAAGCAAAGAAUCUCGAGCCCUACAUCUUUAUCUUUAAUUUGCUUUAAAAUUAGGUCCUUCUUAAAGUGGCAAGUCAAGGAUCAAAGUUUUGUAGCUCAAAUUUCUGAUUUCACCGAGCCAAACUAUUGACACCACCUGUCACACCCGAAUAAUCUUACAUCAGAUAGUAAUGAAAAUAUGAUUAGAUAUAUAAUAAACUUAGACACUAAUAAUAAUAAUUAGACUUUAAUAUAUAUUUUGGGCCGGUGUUUGGGCUCAACGAGUUAUUGUGGCUAGUGAGCUGGAUCAUUACAUUUAGUAUCAAAGCCGGUUCACCAGUCGAAAAUGUUUGGCAAGCUUCGGCUGAGUUAAGAUAUGAAAGACAUGGUGAUCGGCUAUGUCAGAGUAUGGAUGAUAAGGUUAGCGAGACGAGUCUCACAUCACUUGGUGAUCUUGGGUUGUGUUUGUGAUUGGACUGACGAGAACGUCAGGGUCUUAACGGAAGGAGUCUGUCACAACCCAGUAAUCCCAUAUCAGAUAGAAAUGAGAAUGUGGUUGGGUAUAUAAAAGACUUAGACACUAAUAAUAAUAACCGGCUUAAACAUUUUAGACUGGUGUUUGGGCCCAACGAGUUAUUGUUGCUAGUGGACUGGGUCGUUACACCACCUGAAUAUAUUUGUUUCACCGAAAAAUGGAAAGAGGUGGAUUCAUUUUCACUAUAAAUAUCCACUUAUGUUGUUUGGUUCACCAUAACUACACCUACAGUCAAAACUAAAUUUUUCAAACUACUAUAAUAAACUUUGAUCUACUGCGGGGCAAAGUCAAUUACGAAAAAAAAAAAAAAAAAAAAGAGUAAGAACAAAUAAUAAAAUAUUAACCGUAGAAAACUUUAGCUUCUACAUAAUCCUAUUCAAGCUUCUUUUAAAAAAAAAAAAAAAUACUUAUCUAUGUAAAUAAUAAGGUCUUAAAAUUUUCAUAAUCUUUUAUAAAAUAGACUUUCUUUUUAAAAUUAACUUAUUAUUUUUAAAAAAAAAUACUAUUGUGUAAUACAAAAGUUAGUGAGAUCUUAGUUUUGAAAUUAAUCAACCCAAGAAUAUUGAAGCAAAGAAUUCCAAAUGAUACAACUUUGAUUUUUUGAAAAUAUGCUCCUUCCACAGUGAAGUGUAGAAUCAUAGUUUUGUAGCUGAACCAUCAGCUUUCGCCAUGUGGCAAUCAAAAUAAAUUAUUGACGCAUAGUAAUCUGAAUUAAGACAAAUAAAUUAUUCAUGUGCAAUCAAAUAAGUGGAUAAAUAAGUUAGAAAGCGCGAAACUACAGGGAUUUAACAGUUGGGACAUAAUCGCUAUAAAAUCAAGAAGUAGUUAGAAGUUGAUUGCAAAAAUAAAAAAAAAUAUUAGGGACUAAAGUAAAAAUGGUGCAAAGGUUGUGACAAAUGGUACAAUUGACCCUCAAUUAAAAAGAAAAAAAGAACGUGGGAUCCGCAAAAUCCCCCAAAUAAGGAGAGCUCUUCUUUUGAUUCUCAAAUCAUAUAUUUAUAAAUUUUAAAUGUAAAUUGAAAUAUCAAAAUCAAAAUAAAAAAAUUUAAGUUGAAAUAAAAAAUUAGAUUCAAUUUAAAAUUUAAAUUUCAAUUUAAAUUCAAACUUUAAAUUUGAAUUAAAAAUUUUAAUUUCUACAUACGGCCCACAAUCAAUCAAAAUAAGAAGAGACUUUGUUUAAAAUUUAAAUUUAAAAUUUUAUUGUUUGAAUGUGGCCCAUAACAUUCCAAAAUAAGAAGAGAUAGAAAAGAAAAAAAAAUAAAAAGUAAGAGAGAGAGAGAGAGAGGAGUGGAUCGCACAAAAAAAAAAAUAAAAUAAGAAAAUAAGAAAAAAGUGGGGUGGGUCCAACGGCCCUUAGAGUGCGGGGAGAGCUCCUAUGGGUUCCCAAAUUAUAUAUUUUUAAAUUUAAAUUUAAAAUUUUUUUUUUUUUGUAUGUGGCCCACAAUACUUCAAAAUAAGAAGAGAUAGAAAAAAAAAAAAAAAAAAAAAAAAAAAAAAAAAAAAAAAAAAAAAAAAAGAAAAAGAAAAGUGGGUUGGGUCCAACGCCCUGGAGUGGGGGGAGAGCUCCUAUAUGGGUUUCCAAAUCAUAUAUUGAUAAAUCAAUACAAGAAUACAGAAGCAAAGAAUCUCACGCCGUACAUCUUUAAUUUGCUUUAAUUAGUUCCUUGUCGAAGUGGCAAGUAAAGGAUCAUAUAUUGUAGCUUAAAUUUUUGUUUUUAUCGAGUGACAAGCUAAAUUAUUGAAUCUCUGUUUGUUUAUUUCUUCUCAUAAAUGCCCACUUCUAUAAUUUUGUUUUACCAUAACUCCACAUUCGAGCGUAUGUUUGUUUGGGUGGAAGUUGAGAGAGAAGUGGAGAGGGAGAAGUCGUUUCGUCAUAAACGAUCAUUUUCGUUGUGUGGUUCGCCGUAAAAAGAUUACGGUCGAAACACGAGUUAAUCUGAAACGAUAUAAUUUACUUGGGCCGAAGUCAAUUGCGAUGAAGGAAGGUGAAGUUAAAAAAUAAUAAAAUAAUAUGCUAGGUAAAGUUAUUUAUAUUUAAAUUUAUUUAAUUAUGGUACUAAUUAUUUUUUUAUUCAUUUGGCAUAUUUAAAAUAUGAUACAAAUUGAUUAAUUAGGUAUUAAUAUUAUUUUUUUUUUGUAAUUGUAUUGGUGUAUUUUGCUAGGUAAAGUUAUUUAUAUUUAAAUUUAUUUAAUUAUGGUACAAGUAGAUUUUUUAUUCAUUUGGCAUAUUUAAAAUAUGAUACAAAUUGAUUAAUUAGGUAUUAAUAUUAUUUUUUUUUUGUAAUUGUAUUGGUGUAUUUUCAUAAUUUACCUGUUUUAAAUUAACUUUUAAUUAUAUAAAAAUAUAAUUAUAUUAUUUUUAUUUGGCCAAUUUGCAUAAAAAAUCUACUUAUUUUGGGCUUUUGCAAAAUCGGGCCACCUUUUUCGUUUUUGCAGAUUCGGUCCGCUUUUUCAGCAAACUGACCAAAAUACCCUUAUUACUUUUUCUCUUUCCUCUUUCUCUCUCUUCUUCGUUUCCCUCGUUCUUUUUUUUUUCUCGCCGGCAGAGCGGAGGCGGAGCGAAGGCAGAAACGGUCCGUCUCGCCUCUCACCCUCAUGCUCUCGCCCUCGCCCUUGCCCUCGUCAAUACACCCCCCACCUUCCUCGUUUCCGACCCCGCCAAGACCGCGCCACGAUUUUUUUUUUGCUUUUUUUUUUCUUUUCUUCUCCGACUCUUCUCCACCGUCUCCGACGACGACGUCUCUCGCCCUUCCCCGCCCUUCUCAUCUCUCCCUCUCCCUCAUUUUCUGCCGCCUCCGACGAUGAUUUAUCUUCACCGGCGCUGAUGCCGACACCGUAGAGGUCACUGCGGCGCUAUAGCCUCGGAGCGGGGGGUCCUUAGCGGCGUUGUCACCGACGCCCUAGCUGUUGGCAGAGAAGGUGACAAAAAAAAUUAUAGAAAAAACAGAAAAAAAAAUAAAGAUAAAAAAUUAUAUAAAAAGAAGGAUGAAGAUGAAAUUGUAUCGUUAAUUACAAAAAAAAUUAUAAGUUGCACUAUUUAAGAUGUAAACUGCUGCUUUAAGAUAAAAAUUAUACUUUUUGAACGAAAAUUAUACUAUUUUUUAUCUUAAACUGCAUCCUUUUAAAUGAUAUUUAUACUGUUUUUCUCUUGUUGCACUGUUUCUCCUCUUGUUGCACUAUUUCUCCUCUUGUUUACACAAAAAUGGUGCAACAAGAGGAGAAACAGUGCAACAAGAGGAGAAACAGUAUAAAUAUCUCUUAAAAGAGUGCAGUUUUUCUUUUUAUUGCAUUGUUUCUACUCUUGUUGCACUAUUUCUCCUAUUAUUUACACAGAAAUGGUACAAUAGGAGAAGAAACAGUGCAAUAAGAGAAGAAACAGUAAAUAUAUCUCUUAAAACAGUACAGUUUUUCCUCUUGUUGCACUAUUUUUUCUCUUGUUUAUACAGAACUGGUGCAACAAGAGGAGAAACAAUAUAUAUAUAUCUUAAAACAGUGCAGUUUCUCCUCUUGUUGCACUGUUUCUCCUCUUGCUGCACUGUUUCUCCUCUUGUUUACACAGAAAUGGUGCAAUAAGAGGAGAAACAGUGCAACAAGAGGAGAAAUAGUAUAAAUAUCUCUUAAAAGGGUGCAGUUUAAGAUAAAAAAUAGUAUAACAAGAGGAGAAAUUGUGCAACAAGAGGAGAAACAGUGCAACUUUUAUUUAAAGAGUGUAAUUUUUAUCUUAAUGGAUGCAGUUUACAUCUGAAAGAGUGUAAUAAGAAGAGAAACAGUAUAAAUAUCUCUCAAAGAGUGUAAUUUUCGUUUAAAAAGUAUAGUUUUCAUCUUAAAGCUGCAGUUUACAUCUUAAGUAUUGCAACUUAUAAUUUUUUUUGCAGUUAACGAUGCAAUUUCAUGUUCAUUCUUCUUUUUAUAUAAUUUUUUAUCUUUAUUUUUUUUCUGUUUUUUCUAUAAUUUUUUUUUUCACCCUCUCUGCCAACAGCCACGGUGCCGGCGACGACGCCGCUAAGGACCCCCGCUACGAGCCUGUAGCGCCGCAGUGACCUCCACGGUGUCAACGUCACGUCGGCACCAGCGAAGAUGCAUCAUCAUCGAAGGCGGCAGAGAAUGAGGGAGAGGAAGAGAUGAGAAGGGCGGGGAAGGACGAGAGAGGCGUCGUUGUCGGAGACGAUGGAGAAGAGUUGAAGAAGAAAAGAAAAGAAAAAAGCAAAAAAAAAAAAGUCGCGGCGCGGUUUUGGCGGGGUUGGAGGCGAGGAAAGUGGGGGGUGCGUGGACGAGGGCAAGGGCGAGGGCGAGGCGAGGGCGAGAGAAUGAGGGUGAGAGGCGAGACGGACCGUUUCUGUCACGCCCCGGGGUCCCUUUUUGAUUGAAGCACAGCGGAAAAACGUCUAAAAUUUUUUUUUUGAAAACCUGACCCCAGAGUAUGCCAAAUCCGCCACAAAUACAGAGAAUCCACUGUUCACACGGACAGAGUCUCCCCUGUAUUUGCACGGCGUCGCACAAGUACAAACGUACAAACAGAGUACAACCACAACUAAAUAAAUAUAGAGAUAACUAUACAUUCAUACAUUCACCAUUCACAUCACAGAUUUACAUUCGAUAUUUAAACAUAAAUUCGCGGAAACCUUUUGAAAACUGUUUCCUACGCGAAAACUUUUAUCUUUUAAAAACGCUACCACGAGGGGUAGAAAACUAUUUCAGUUUACAAAACCAUAAUUCUUUUAAUAUGAUAACUCAAUUAUACAAAUGGAGUAACAAAACUGAACCAGUAACAGUCUAAGCCAGAAUAAUCGGAAAUAACCACGUAACAGCUAAACUAACCAAACCGAGUCGGAAGUUCUAUCGACCUCUAUCAACGUGUCGCCUGUUUCGUCUCAACCCUCACUUCCCGCAAUACCUGAAAAAUGGUGGGGAAGGUGAGAACAUGUAAAUAUGUCUCCCCUCCCAAUAGGUACCGCAAGCCAAAGAAGGCGAGGAGUACUCACCGGAUCAGGAAGAUAAACAAUAGUAUAUGGGUAAGUGAAAUACAGUAGCAACGAUCAUGACGAAAGAGAUAUAAAUGAAAGAACAACUACCGCUACUGUAAACAGAACGACAAGCGUGCAUACAGAGAUAUCAGACUAUAGUAGCAAGACAAAUGUAAGAAAGGACUAUAGGUAUACCUGUAAACAACUGCUACUACAACGAAGAACCGAAAGCAUACAAGAAUACGAAAACUAUAGUAGCAAGACAACUGUAAAGAAAGAACUGUAGAUAUACAUGCAACAACCGCUACUAUAGCUAUAUGCGUCAACAGGACAAGUAGUCCAAAAGUACCCAAUCUAAACCUGCCAUGUUGGUCCGGAGACCUCAGGCUCGUGCCACAUUCACUCAACCUGCAUAUAACCCAGUCUUAGCCUCUGGGCUCACGGGUCGGACGUACGACCACUUUUCCGGAAAAGAACACCCCCUGCGGUGGAUCAGACUGCCAGUGUUCGUGAAAUGCUAACGAGUGGUGGCGAUCGAUGCUGAUAUGCUCGCCAACCGUCGACGACCAGCCGACAAUCACUGCCCCUCUGGGCAUACCGACCGUGUAGGUCAUCAAGUAAAAAACGUGAACCGACCGAGAUAGGUCAAUGUACGGAAAGUAACGAACGACCAAACAGAUCACAGAUGCAAACAGGAGAACCGACCAACCAGGUCAAUAGUAUAGUAUGUACGAAUGCCGCCUACUCUACCCCUACACAGGACACUACACAUAGAACAACCAGGUAGAGUAAAUAAAGAUAGCAUGUAAAUACUGCUCGAAGUCAACUAACAGUAUGAACGCAAGAACCGACCGAUAGGUCACAAGAGUGUAUCGAUAUAGUCCAGAACUACCGUCAGCACCAGCUGACAAUCCUACCCCUCAGGGUACACCGACCUCCAAGGUCAUCAACGACAGAACUCACGAAGCUAACCGACUAGGUCACAAACAUACCAAACAGUGGAACUGAGUAGACUAUAGUCAUCCAUCGGCGUUGGCCGACAAUCCCACCCCUUAGGGUAUAUCGACCUCAAGGGUCAACGAACGGAGUACGCGAACUGACCAAUCAGGUCACCGAAACGAAGUACGAGAACCGACCACUUAGGUCACUGGAAUCAUAUAUGGAUAAACUACUCUACUCCUACACAUGAUACCGAGCAUAGAAACAUAUGAGUAGAGUAUAACAGCAACAACAGGGAUGCAAGCUCAAUAUAUGAUAUGAUAAUAAUAACAACAGAAGAACAGGGAUAGAAGAAAUAUCACCGAGCGUGCACCACUGUACCGACUUCGGAUCGAAGUACCCACCUGUACAACUGUCGCGCUUGUCUCCUGACUGCGAAAGAGCGUCAACCGGACCUAAGGAAAGUCCACCGGGUUAGUGUCUAACCCACAGCUAAUAACCACUAAAUCCACAACCUACAAGCAAACCCUUGGGGAUCGGUUUCCCAAACCGAUCGCCGUAAUACGCCGGAAGUCCCGUAAUCGCACGGGGACUCCACCGGGACCCACGAACUGUCCCGGAACACACCGACUCAUACCGUGAGUUACCCGCUGCCACUAAACACCAUUAGUCAUGGGAUUUGGCAGCAAACACAAGGAUACAUAACCAAACAGCAAUCGCCGAAUAAUUGUUCGGAUUCGGGUUCCCGGAAGUGUCAAUUUCGACACCGGAACCCACCGUCGCUCACCCGUCAUUUCCGAACUCUCGAAAUGACGCAAGUGACCAGCCAACAAGGCUCAGCGACUACACAAAAGCUCACGAAGCACCGUCGGAAUAAUUCCGAACCGAACCCGCGUUCCGUCGGCGGAUUUCGCCGAAAAACGCACCGGAAAUGCAUUUCCGAUCUUCGCAAGGGUCUGGGGCCUUGGACAAUCAGUCCAGAGGUUAACCUCAACCAACACUUGCUGCCAACAGUAGCUACAACGAACCAAAAUGCAUAAAAGCCCUCCUGAUGACCCAAAAUCGCAUUAUUUCAUGCGAUUUCGGUGCUUUCAUGGUCCGACAACGCAAACCAGAGGUCAAACAGCCAAGACGAGACUCCUGCUGACUGGUCUCGGUGUGCCGGAGGCCGUGCUCACCUUUCGGAGCACUGCCGGCCACUGUGGAGGACGCAUGAGCGACGCAAACAUCAGUGAAACAGCGCGCACAGCGCCUAAAUCGCGUCUAACACGCAAACCGGAGCAUCUCUGACCUAAAUAGAGGUGGCCACGAUGACCGGCACUGAACAAGGAUCAUCGUGCUCACCUCCAGCAGAUUCGGGGUGGCCUCGGUUCACCAAAACAGUGAUCGGAACCCCAAGACAAGGUACAGGAAGCCAACAACAAACUUACCGGAGCAAGGUGGGGCACAGGGCGGCCGGCGGGAUAUCCAGCCAGAGGAGGGUGCUGCCAGUGUGGGGAGGUCCGGGCGCGCAUCGGUCGGCCACGGGAGGCGGCGGAAGCGGCGGGCAUUGAUGCCCUAGCCGCACAACCCGAGGAGAGCCUGGGCUCGGUCCAGCCAACAGGGAGCUUCCGGCGGCGGGAUCUACGGCGGUGGGCGGGUGCGGCCGGACAGGCGGAGGCGGUGCUCACUCCGGCCGGCGUCGGGAGGCGGCGGCGACUGCUCAUGAGCAACCCGAGCCCCUGCGCGCUCGGCUCGGGUUCAGCCGAACAGAACGGCCACCAAGGCGGCCGAGGACCCGCGGGGACGUCGGAGACGACAAAAAGGGGUCGCCUGAAGGUGGAGGGGAAGAAGGAAGGAGGCGAGCGACGGGAGCGGUGGCUUGCAGCUCAAGCGCGGCCACCCGAGCUCAGCUCGGCAGAGGGUCACAGCGGCGGCGCCCAGGGCGUGCGGCGGCGACGGCGGCCAUUCAGGCCGGGUGCGGGGGUGCCGGUGGUCACGAGGGAGGUUGCCGAUGUGGUCCCUGGCGGCGGUAGGGCGCGUGGUGGAAACCAGCCUGGGCUCGGCCCGAGUUGGUCCAGCUCGGCUGCAGAGCGCCCAGGCAACGACGGCGGCGCGCGGGGACGUCCGAGGACCGGCCGGGCCUUCGCCGGAGAUGGGGACCACGGCCAGGGGAGAGGGCCCAAGGAGUAGAUCUCUCAGGCUGAUCCGAGAUAAGGGUGGUAAAGGUUGGGUGGAGGAAAAGAUAGAGGAGAGGCCAGGCACGGAGUUCCCAGCGGCCGGAGCUCCCGCCGGCGGCCGGGGUGCGAGCAUGGCGAGGGCAGAGGCGGCUAGGGUGGAUUAGGGUAAGUUGGGGUGGCUUAGGGUUAGGGUUUCAUGCGAGAAAGCCCUAACAAUGCAUAUAUACAAGGUGUAAUUUGCAAGAAAGCCCCUCAAGGAUAAAUAAUUCCAAACCCAGUCCUUCACAGCGCGAGUAAUACACACGAAUACCCCUCCACGUGCGAUCUCAAGCGAAACGGUACAUAAAAUAUUGCGACUUUUGCAAAAAUACCGUUUUCCCUACACCGACCUCUCCUCGAUCAACGUGCAAUCUCCGCAGAUCCGUCCGUCAGAUUUGCGAACGGAUUGCACCAGUGCAAUCAGCACCUCGGAGACAACAAAGCUACACUUUCGUUUCGUCUCGAUCGACCACGGAUUCACGACAAAAUCCAACCUUCUUCCAAUAGAAGGAAUCACACACAAAUACAUAUAAAACAUGUAUUUUUGGAUUUUCUCGAAAUCCGUGCGUCAAACUCAAAAUCCGUCAGCGCCACUAGUUCCAGAACAGCUGAACCGGUCAAAACGAGCUAUUGGACUGAUAUGAACGGAGUCCGAUACGCACCAGAAGCCAACUCUACUCCGUGGCUUCUCCGGAAAACCGGAGUUACUAUUCACUUAAGUGAAAACUAAAAGUCACGUAUCUUCUCCAUUUUAGCUCAUUUUCGUCUGAAACUUGACGAGUGCUUAUGUAAUUAAAUUACACACAUAAACAUUAUCAACAGAAAGUUUAGUAGCACUGUCAAAAAUCUCAGUCCUUACAUCAUUCCUCCUUUAAAAGAAGUUUCGUCCCCGAAACUUGACCACGUACCCACCGUAAACGAACUCUGACAUUGCUCCACCAAUGCGGUAACACCUUUGGAUACUUGUCAGUCACAAUUCUAGAAUUUGGAUAGAUCAACCUCUGAAAAAGGGAAGAAUAGGACUGCGGUUCCACAAGAACAAGACGAGGGAAACGUACCAAUCCCAAGUCUACGGACCAUAACACACCGGAAUCAACACCAUCCAGUAACCUUGGCCCGAAAAGCCUCAACCGACUCGACCACGUCGCUAAGUUCACGAGAAAGAAUCACGAGCCAACACCACCAAACUGGAGUCUAAUUACCUAGACCGGAGCAAAAUAUUUCCGACUAGCCAACAAUACCUGCUCACCACGAGCGAAAACGAAACGUUCUCCUAAAACUUGAGUCGGUAGCAACAGCCUCUGAGACUACAGUCUCCGACUAACAGAACACACAACUGCCGAAGUCAAGUACUCCUCCACGGAAAGCCACUUUUGGCAUUCGACAGUCUUAGGUCCCACAACCUCACUUUUUACCUGACCAAAAAGGUCGAAGGAUGACAAUAAUAAUUGAGCUCGACAAUUUGCUCGCUCAAUUAAAACUGGUUCGACUAAAUCAACAUACCCACCAUGCAAGUCCAAAACUUGGUGCACAGGAUUGCCAAUCGCACUAUGCGAUACCAACCAUCGGUGAUGCUCAACACCUGUCUCUACGAGACCCUGUCGCUGCCGUCCUACAAGGGACCCUAGCGAUCGGUGUUUCGAGCAAUACCAGAUAACUGUCUCAUUGAAACCCUGGCGCACCUGUCACCAAUUAACCGGACAAGCAUACUAUUCCAACAUCGCACAAUAGGCCGAAAUACAAACCUUACACGAUAUCACCUACGGUGACAAUCAAAGCCAACAACCAAGCUCAAGUCACUCAACCAUAAAUUCUGAACCUCAAGACAAUAGACCGUAACUACUAACCAACAAACCCUUUUAGCUAUGGAAGCACAACUAAAGAGCUACGAACACCCAGACUCGAACUAGAGUCAAAACCACCUACAGUGAUGAUAAAUCAACUGCGCAAACCAACCAAGAAAAUCUAAGGCCCACUACGUGGUCAAAGAUGACCGACACCCAACCAUCCUCACAAGACUAUCUACAGAGGAAUGAAAUACCGACCCAAUCCAUGAGUCCCAAACAGGGAGAAGAUAUUUCGUUUCAUCUUUCGACAACACAUUGUCUGCAGCCAAUGUACUUAUCAAAAGAAGAAGCGAAAUAUCUGAAGAUCCACUACCAACAACAAGGUGGGAGCGUGACACGAUGAAAUAUCAAACGACUUAAUAUUUCACUACUGAACCAAACAUCCUCAACCAAAACCGUCGAAUCAUCGACCUAACAAACCGACGCUCGAAACAAGAUCGAGCUAGAACCGACUCACAGGGAGUCCCAUAACUUUCAAUAUCCAAAAGCUGCUUGCGACUCUAAGCCGCGAACCGCACAAACAGAGGCCUUGGGAAACGGUUUCUCUAACCGAUUUCCGUACCACAUCCGAGCUACACUCAAGGCUUCGAGAACUCCGACAAUACAACGAACCAUACCACGAACCACAGACUAACUCACAACACACCAAUUAGGUAUUAGAAUAACCGCAUACGAUGUAUGCAACAACAAAGACCUAACAUCAAAACUGUAUCAAUCCAACUCUAGUACAUGUCAAUUGACGGAAGAACGAGAUAAGGGUCAAAGAUCGAAACCGCUGAUUUCAUCAGCAAUCAAGGAAGAGAGGUAGGCAUCACAGCCCUACCCAAAGAUCUGAGGAAACAACAUCAACAAUGCAGUCGUCUAAACGACCGCAAACCAAACCCUGGGCUACGCCUUAGUAGCCCCACGGAAGUCGCGACCUUAACAGGUCUCAAUGCCGUCUCCGUAGAGAAUGGCCAACUCUACACCAUUAGUUUGCUUUAAAAUGAUUUUUUUUUUUUUCAAAAUGGCAAGUAAAGAAUGAUACUUUCAUACGCAAAUUUGUAUAUGCAGUCUAUAUAUUGAAGUUUAUUUAAAAAGUUAUAAUCUCUAUAAAUAAUUAGGUUUUAAAUAGUUUUAAACAAUUUUGUAGAAUAUACUAUUUUUCUUAAAACUAAAUUAUUAUUAUCUUUUAAAACAAAUAAAAUUUAAAAAAUAUUUGUGUGCAAUGCACAUGUUAAUAAUUAAUUUAUUUUGAAAUUAAUCGAGCAUAGCAUACUAAUUAAAAGCAAAGAAUCCCCAACAACCCUUUAUCUUUAAUUUGCUUUAAAAUUGGUCCCUUUUUAAAGCAACAAGUAAAGAAUAAUACUUUAAUUAAAGCAUAAACUUGUUACUAAUUAACACUUUUAUAAUUGCAAAAGGUUUAGAGUAUUGAGUAAAGAUUAAAAAGAAGAAAGAGAUAUUGGUGUGCAAUCAUCAUAUCUAUCUAUCUGCAACUAAUUAAAUCCAACAUGUAAUUUUAUCCAAUAUGUAAUUUUAUCCAACCUGGGGGGGAUGAUUGAGUUUGGAUUGUGGGUUCAACUUAUGUAAUUUAUUUUCCUGUAUGUGCUGAUUUUACUCUUUGUUCCACUGUACUCCAAAAAUAGGGUAAAUACCUGUUUAAUAAAAAAAAAAAAUCCAAUCUUAAUUAUUUAAGGAAACUAUUCUUAUAAGUAAUUAGGUUUUACAUUUUCAGUAAGUAGUUUAUAAAAUAUUCCUAUAAGUAACUUAAAAUUUUGGAAAAAUAAAAUUUUAAAAAUAUCUGUAAAUAAUAAUUUACAGAUAUUUUUAAAAAAACUAUCUCUACAAAUUAAUCUUAUUUAAAAAAACUAUCUCAACAAAUAAUUAGUUUUUUAAAUUUAAAAUUUUUCUAUGCAAUAGAUUAUUUCUCCUAACUUUAAUUUAUUAUUUUCUAAAAUAAAAGUUUCUUAAAUAUCCGUGUACAAUUAAUGCACUGAUUAACAACUAGUUUAUUUAACAAACAACCAGUACAAGAAUAUAUAAAGCUAAAAAAUCACCAACCCACCACUUUUAUUUUUAAAAUGCAUGGGUUCUCCUCAAAAGUUGCAAGCAAAGAAUCAUAUGACAAUCCAUAUUCUUUACAAAUGCCAAUCUUAUUUAAUUAAGACAACUAGAUUAUUUAGCUUUAUAUAUUCUUUUAAAUUGUCGUAGAAAGAACUUAAAAUAGGAAAGAAAUUUGGAUAUGCAAUCAAUACAUGACUACAUCAAAUUAUAAUAACAUCCAAUGUUAUUAAAUUAAUAUAUUAUUUAAAAAAUAAAGUUUUAAGAUAUCUGUGUGCUAUGCAUGGAUCAGCAUCUAGUUUAUUUUAAAAUUAAUUGAAACAAGAAUAUAUACAUAUCAAUGAAUCCUAACAUUACAUCUUAAUUUGCAUUAAAAUAUAAAAGUUUUUUCUAAAGUGGCAAGUAAAGAAUCAUAUAUUUUUGUAGUCUUAGUUACUGUUUUCGUCAAGUGGCCAGUUAAUUAAAUUGUUGACAUAUGGUGAUCUUACUUAUAGUAAUGAUAUAUAUUAUUAUUUAUAAUAAAAUAAAGUUAAACUGUUGUAGAAAAAGUUAAAAAUAGAAAAAAAAUUAGUUGGAUAUAUGUGUAAUUAGUAUCUGGCUGUAGCUUCAUCUUUAAUUUUCAUUAAAACAGGUUCUUUUCUCAAAUGAUAAGCAAAGAAUCAAACUUUAUUUAUCAUACAUGCUUAUAAAUACAUUGAAAGCCAUUUGAACCUCUUAUACUAUUCUUUCUCCUUAACACAUGGGCUCUUUCUCCCUAACACAUGAAUAGCAAUUUAGCCAUUCAGUAGGUUAAUUGAAAGUUAUUUGGAUCGCUCUGUUGCUCUUUUUCCUUAACGUAUGAAUUGACGUUUAGUCAUUUGGAUAUCUCUGCUGCUCUUUCUCCCUCGCGCAUGAACAUGGAUUUAGCCAUUUGGAUUUCUAUGCUGGUCCUUCUAUUUAACACAUGAAUGGGUAUAUAUUUAGCGAUUCAGGUACACACAUAUUUAAUUUCUUACAUGCAUUAUUCUUAUUACUUAUCUUUUUAUUUUUUGGUUGUUUUUUUUUUUGUUUGUUUUCUUCAGAUUAUGUUAUUUCUUGCUGUAAUUGAGGUUUAAUACUCAUUUAUUCAAUAGGGAUAACACAAUUACAUGACUAGCAAAAGAAAGAAAACUCCUAAUAAUAUAAGAAAAUUACUCAAAUAAUAAAUCAAGCUUAAUUACAAGGAAGGAAAUAACAUAAUCUGAAGGCAUCAAGAUUUGAGUUCUAGAAAUACUAGUUCAUAAAGCGCACAAUAAAAUUUCACCAGUGAGGCUAUUAAUUUGUUUUUUUUCGUAGCUCUAUAUUAAUAUUUUGUGGCUAUUAAUGGGAUUUUUGUGGGCUCUCAUCUUCCUAUUUAUGCACGAACAUAAAAUACAUGUAAUUUAAAGUCUAAAUUACAAAAAAUUCUUUUAUAAAUAUUUUUUUUUUUACCUUUUUUAAUAACUUUCUAAAACCUAUAUUUAUCUUCUCAACAUUUUAAAUUAUUGUAUUUAGUCUCCGUAUGUUAAGGUUCCGUCACUAUUCCGUCCAUUUCUUAUAAUUUAUACGAAAAUGCCUUUCAAAAUAAUAAAAAUAUUAUUAAAAAAUUAUAUUUUUCUUAUAGAAAAAUAAGAACAGUUUAGUUAUUUUGCCCUCCUUCUAAAAUUUUAGGAAAGUAAGAUAUAGGUUCUUAAAAGUCAAAGAGUAAAAGCAAAAAAAACGAGUAUUUACAAAAAAAUUUAAAAUGAUAAUCUAUUUAAUAUUAUAAUAUAUACUAUAUUAUUCUAAAGUAGCGUCCUCGCGAUAGCAUUGUACCACUUGGCACAAUUUCAAAGCAAGAAUUUACUGCAUUAAAAUUAUAUUAUUAUUAAUAUUAAAUCUUACUAAAACUCUACGAUGCGAAUUUAUUUUGUCCAAUUUUCAUAUUAAGUUCUAUUUAAACUCUAUGAUUCAUAUUAAAUUAAUCAAGGGGGCCACGACCAUCCAAAGUUCAUAAAAUUGUUUUUAAAUUUUUUUAUUAUAAUGUUUUUAUUAAAGUAGCAAGUAAAGAAUUAUACUUUUGUUGCCAAACAGCUGUGACACAUCUAGAAUUUAAAAUAAUUCUGCAUAUAAGAUAUAAUAAUAACAUUAAGAUCUUUUAAUCUGACUAUAGCAUUUUAGACGGUGGUUAGGUCUAAGAGAUGAAGAGUGUUGAGCGUAUUAGAGAUAGAGUAGUUUUAGGAUGCGUGGAUCCUGCGAAGUGGGAAGCGACGUGUUACACAAACUUUCGCCAAAUGACAAGCCAAGUUGUUGGCACAUACCAAUCUUUUUCUUAAGACCACUAGAUAAUUUAUAAUUAAAAAGAUUUUAAAUUGUUAUGGAAAGAGCUUACAAUAGGAAAGAAAUUUGAGUUAAUUUCAUUUGCACCCUCACACAGUUAUGAAACAUCAUAUAUAUCUUUCGAAUUUUUAAAAUUUCACAAAUACCCCUCUAAAUACAAUAUUUCUUUCAUAAAUACCCUCACUAUUAAUUUUUGCUAACUUCUGUCACCUUAGCUUUUUUUUUUUAUUUUACUUCAAAAUAUGAAAUUACCAUUUUACCUGUAAUUUUUUAAUAUUUAUACUAAAACUAUCAACUAUGGGCCAUUUAAGUAAAUCCCUUGAAGUUUUUGUUAAUUUUUCUUUUUUCAACAUAAACUUCAUAGCUUUUAAUUUUUUUAGAUCGUAAUACAUAUGAACUAUAUCCACAUUGCAAUUUGAUUCUUAGACUCAUUUAAUUUUAUAUACUAUGAAGUUACUAUAAUUAUUAAAUUUGGUUGAAUCAUUGAAGGAUUAGAUAAAAUCUCUAAUUUAACAAUAAAAAAUCAUUCAAUUUUAAGAAAAUAAUAUUUAAGAAGACUUUAAUUGAAAAUUUAAAUUUCGGGGGCUAUUUCACAAUGUGUUGUAAUUGAGGGGGUCUCCAUAUAUUUAAAAAACUUUGUGAGGGUGGUGAUUAGAAUAAAAUAGAGGGUAAAAUGGUAUUUUGAAGCUAACAUAAUGGAUUGCUACCAGUGUGGGUAUUUUUGAAAAUUUUUCAUACUUUUGGAGGACAAAUAUGAAAAUUUAAAAUUUUAAAGGGUAUUCAUGACAUUAGAGCUACUCGGAAGGGUGUUGAAGAAAUUUUCCCAAAGAAAUUUGGUUAUGUAAUCCAUAUAUCUAUCUACAACUACAUCAAACAUAUAUAAUGUAUAAUAAUAUCCAAUCUUAUUUAAAAAAGUUAUGUCUACAAUUAAUUAGAUUGUAAUCUUUUUAUAAUUUUUUUUAUAAAAUAGAUUGUUUUUCUCAAAAUUAGUUUAUUAUUAAAAAAUAAAAUUUUGAAAUAUCUGCUUGUAAUGUAUGGGUAACAAUCAGUUUAUUUUGAAAUAAAUUGAAACAAGAAUAAAAAUCAAGGAAUUAGUACACUACAUCUUUAAUUUGCAUUAGCUAGAAUAUAUAGGUUCUUUUCUAGAGUGACAAGUAAAGAAUCAUAUUUCUCUAGUCGUAGUUACUAUUUUCGUCAAGUGGCAAUCUAAAUUGUUGACAUAUGACAAUUUAAUUACUUUUGAUAAUGAUUGUAUAUUAUUUAUAAUAAAAAAGGUUUAAGCUAUUGUACAAAGAGUUAAAAAUUAAAAAAAAAAAAAUGGAUGUGCAAUUAGUAUAUUCAUUUAUAGCUUCAUCUUUAAUUUUUUUCUUCUUUUAAAGUAGAUUCCUUUCCAAAGUGAUAAACAAAGAAUCAUAUUUUUUUUUCUCAUAACUACUUAUAACUACUUUGAAAGACAUUUGAAAUCUCUUAUUAUUGAUCAUCCUCCUUAAUUAACACAUGGCUCUUCCUCCUUAACUAUGAAUAGAGAUUUAACGAUUCAGUACGUUGAAAGCUAUUUGGAUCUCUUUACGCUGCUCUUUCUCCUUAACAUAUGAAUCCGCAAUUAACUAUUCGGAUCUCUGUUGCUCUUUCUUCUUAACAUAUGAAUAGAAAUUUAGCGAUUCAGGUACAUAUAUAUUUAAUUUAUUAUAUUAUUCUUAUUACUUAUCUCUUGAUUUUUAUUUGUAUUUUUCCUCAAAUUUUGUUAUUUCUUACUGUAAUUGAGGUUUAAGACACUUAUUUAUUCAAUAGGGAUUAAGCCACUUAAAUAACACAAAUAUACAACAAAUAAAGAAAGAAACUCCUAAUAAAAUAAGGAAUAUAAAUCAAAUAUUAAAUCAAAGCUUAGAAGGAAUGAAGUAACAUUCUAAUAUGGUACAUGUUAACAAACGGAAUGCAUAAUAUCUAUUAGAUUUACAUGUUAAUUUAAAGAUAAUAAUCUAUCUAACACAUAUUAUUCUAAUGUAGUUUAACGCAUUUUUCACUUUGUCAGAUAUAGAUUUCAUCUCCCUGUUUAUGCAUUUUUUGCCAGACUAUCUGAUAUAAAAUUUUUAGGUGAAAAAAUAUUAUACCACAUGAGAGCGAAGUGCAUCUUUUUGAAUAACAUGAGGCCAAAGUAAAAAAUUUGCUAUAUCGCAAGGAGGGCAAUUUGAAGUUUACCUUAUAACACAAACUAUUUAUUAUUCAUUUCUUAUAUAUACCAUUUACUGCCUUAUUCAAGUGCAUGUUAAUUUCUAGCUAUUUUUCCUCUUUAAAUGUGUAAUGAAAUAUAUAUGGAAUAACACUCGGUUAGAAAAUAAUUGUUAUUUAGUUAAUUACUGAAAGAGUCAACAAAGAAAUUACUGGUUUUAGCUAGAAAGUUUGAGAAAACAUAAUUUAAUACACAACCAGUUUAAAACUUAAGAAUUUUGGGUCCCUAAAUCUUCAGUUUUCUUUUACAAUUUGUCAGAUUAUUUCACAUACAGUAUUUAAGAAUAUAAGUAUUUAAAACCUUUUUAGUCAUAUAUGGAAUUAAUGCCGAAUGUUGAACAAAUUAUUGCAUUAUUACGCACAAUUUUAAUCCCGGAGUUCAGCUUCUGGAUUAAAUUCUACUAAAACUCAAUGGCUCAGAUUUAUUAUUCUUUCCACCAUUAAUUAGAUAUUUUAAAUUUAAAAUUUAGAUAUAUUCUAUGCAUUCUCCUAAAACUUUGCUGUCCAAAUUUAUUCUAAUCUUAAAAUAUUGAAAAAACUUCAAUUUAUCUGUCUGUAGUUUUGUUUUGCACAUUUUUUUUACUUUUGUCACAUUGUAGUUCACAUAUACAGUUGCAUGCAUUUAUCAACUAGGUACCCCGUUUUUUUUUUUUUUUUUUUUUUUUUUUUUUUUUUUUUUUUUUUUUUUUUUUUUUUUGUUAUAUCGUAAGGAUCCGCUGUUAAUUAAACAUGAUAUAAAAAUGCCCCGUAUUUUCUUUUUGAAGGUCAUGCGAUGAUGAUGCUUCGCCUAACUAACUAAAGGCAAAAAUAAAAUCAUAGAUGCAGCUUUUUAAAUUAUAGAAUGACAAAUUAAAAAUAUCUUAAAUGGUAGAGCAAUUAAAUAUAUAUGAAUUUAAUUUUUGAACAAGGGUGUGGUAAAAAUAGAAAUGCACUAAUCAAAAACCAACGUAGGGAGGGGUGAAUUGAAAAGUUUACCCCAAAUCGAAAGGGUUAUAAAUGUCGCUGUCUGUCUGAUGGUGUUAUUUGCUGCUGCUCUAUCAUCCCAGUCUUGUUGCGGAUUUCCAAAUGCGGAUCGGAUCAGCUAAAGCAGGGAGGAUGGAUUGAUUGAUUAUAUAUGAAGAAGGCCAAAUUAACUAAACUAACUCGAUCGGUGAAUGAAUGCUCUCACCGUUGAAUCGAUGCAUGGUCAUGGAUUUGACCCUCCCUCCUCGUCGACUCGAUUAAAACCUAGCUACCGACCUAUAUAUAUAUAUAUAUAUAUAUAUAUACGUCGAGUCGAUUAAAACCUACCUACCUAUAUAUAUGUACCGCCAUGGAUAUCAAAGAACUCUUGUACGACUUCGCAAAGAGUGAUGUGCUUAGAAGCUUGCGCAAGGGGACCGCACAGAAGAUCUACGUGGAGGCACGGAUGGGAGUCGGGGCGACCGCUUUACUCCAAGAGGUGGCGGAAGCGGCGGAGAUCAGGCGUGCGUUCGACGUGGUGAUCAAGGUGGUGCGGCCCGCACCAUUUGGGAACCUGAGGGAGAUGCAGAGGGCGGUGGCGGAGCAGCUGAAUCAUCUACUACCUCCUUCGGUGGUGACGACGGCUGCUGCGUUCGACGCGGCGGACGAAGACGACGACUUCUCGGGUGUGGAAUUCAGCUCAAGAGGCCAGCUUCCGGAGGUAAGAAAGCAGAUCUACCAAGCUGUGAAGGAUCGUAGUAGUGUGCUGCUCGUCCUUUGCAAUAGUAUUGCAGGUGGCAAAUUAAUUGACCCAAAUGAAUUGGGUAUUCCUAUCGUAAGGGGGAGCCGCAAUGCUGUCGUGUGGACCUCUGGGCUGAAUAUUAGCAGGGAAGCCGCGUCAGCGGGUGCGGAUUGGAUCGCAUGGAUUGAGCCACAGAUCAAAGCUACCGCACUUGAUCUUGUGUACAAGGAGGCCGUCGAGAUUGCCCGUUACAUUGACGAGAGGAGCGGGGGGCGCUUGCGGACCACCCCGCAAGCAGUCCUCCGCUGCUUUUGGUAUUGCCUGCUGUUGUUGCGUAGAGCAGCGUUUAAUCAAUCAGUACUAAUGCCCGAUGGUGAUCCGUCCCUGGAAGCUGCUGCCAAGUAUCUUGUGUGCGACGGAAUUUUACGAGGAGAUGAUGAUGCGGCGGCGUGGGAGAUUGGGAGAGCGCUAGCUCCUUCGCUGAUUGGACCCAUCGUAAAUGAUCAACAACUGCAAUAUUGGCAGAGGCUAAUAACCUCUGACACUUGGACGCCGAGAAGGGAAAGGAAAGAAUUGUUGCCCCCGAAAACUUUAUUAAUCGGCUCUACCGCGCAGGGAGCUUGGGUAAAGAUCUCACCUCCAUCAUCACCAUCACCGGAGGAGGAGGAGAAGGACAGUAGUUACCGGUGGAUCUCACUAUGCUCUCCUAUUCCAGAGCCAUGGGAUUUCUUCUUCAAAGAAUAUCGCCGUUCAGUCUUGUCUGAGGUUUCAUCCUUCUUUGGGCAUUUUGAGGAAACACACCAAGCUCUACCGGACGGCUUCUUCGACCAUUUCAGCAACGUUCGAGUGUUGGACCUUCUCGGCUGCAUAGUAAGUCCUAUAAAUCCUUCAUUCCUUCGUCUUCGCAACCUGAGAAUGCUUAGGCUGGAGCGGUGCAAAGUAACAUCUCUUGAUCAUCCUAAUUCUCAUCCCUCAGCAACAGCAACAGAAGGAGGACGAUGGGAAUCAUUACCUCUUUAUGGCUUACAGGUCCUGAAUUUAUACAGCUCAGAUGCUGAUAAGAUUCUUCUAGCAGGGAAAACCUUUGAGCUCAUGCCUAAUCUCCUGGAGCUCGAUCUCACAGAAAACAUCAGCACCGAGUUUUUGUCAAGGAGCUUGUCAAUGGCAAUCAAACUCAAAGUGCUUAUUCUCACUAAUUGCGAGGGGUUAGAAUAUCUAAACUUCAGUCUCCCUGCAACAAUUGAAACAAUCAGCCUCCAAAGGUGCGGAUCGCUAAAAGAGGUGGAACUACUCGACCCUGCAGCAGCUCCUUUGCCCAACCUCACGACCUUCCGCCUCAGCGGCUCUACGCUGAUCGCCAAGCUCUCCCUACAAGGAUGCCGUAAGUUGGAGAACGUAGACCUGCAGGAAUUGACGGGGCUCGAGGUGCUCGAUCUUUCAUGCACCGCAAUAAAAGUGGUGGAUAUCAGCAAACUCCCACAACUGAAGGAAUUAUUUCUCCUCAGAUGCAAGCAACUCCGUAGAGUAGUCUGUCUUCAUGAAACACAAAAGCUAGAUGUGCUGUACUUGGAUAACUAUAGUGGCAGCAGUACUUGCAACGUCGAUGUCGAUCGGUGCCUUGAUUCCUUUCGCAAUCAAACACAAAGUGAGUUAACCAAGGAAACUAAUGAUGCUGAUCAAAGAUUAUUAUUCCACGCUCAUGUGGUCGUGAGGGAUGUUAGGCUCUUCCGGUCACUUCGUUAUGCUUUUUCUAAUCCAAUAUACAAAGGAUCCUGCUUCCAUAUCCACGUCAAGCGUUCUUCAACUGCUAAGAGAGGCACUAAUAUUGGUACUACCACCAGAUCGAAUGCUAUUAUAAUGUCGGCAUUAUGUUAUGCAGAUGUUUUAAAUACUAUGACAGAUCGCCACCGUCGACAUCACCCGUCGCCACCUGCCAUGCCCCUGAAAAAUCACAUAGAGGUUGAUGGAGGUCACGAUUCCCGAAUAGCAGAGGAGGGUGACUUUGGAUACAUAAUGAAAUGGUUUGCUAAUUCUUUAUUCAUUCACGACAACACAUCUAAGUUUACCAUGAGCAUUCAAUUCAGACAUCUCAAAUGUUUCCGCAUUGAGAGGUGCCCUAAUUUGGAGUUUAUCUUCUCUUAUUGGGGUGAAGCUAAGUAUUUGGAGAGCAUAUGGCUCAGCCAACUUCCGAGGUUCAAAGCUUUAUGCGAAGAAGGAUGGAUUGAUGCGCUUUUGAAGCAUAUUUACUUGGAGUUUUGCGCAAGGCUAGAAUAUGUAGUCCCCUCACUGUAUCUACUAUACAACUUGGAAACAAUCAACAUCCGUUAUUGCGGCAAUCUAACGGCAAUAUUCAUAUCUCGUGAUGAUCAUAAAAAAGAUAAAAGAGGAGCUGCUCCACUGCUACUUCCGAAACUGAGGUCCAUCCAUCUACAGGAGCUUCCGAAGCUACAACACAUAUACGAGCCUAACAUUUGUGCACCGUCACUAGAAGAGAUCAAGAUUAUGGGGUGUUUCAAUCUGAAAAAGCUUCCUCUUUUCGGCCACUUAGACGCUCGUUCAAUGAGAGCUGUGGAGAUUAGCUGCGAGAAGGAUUGGUGGGAUAAGCUACAAUGGGAUGGGUUAGAAUCCAACCACCACUCUUUUCUCUUCAACCCCAAACAUUGUCCUUAUCAUAAGAAGCGUAUGAAGGCUAGAUGGUUUUGAAGCACAAAUCUCCUCCAAUGUUGGAAACCAAAACGUACAUGCACGGCAAACCAUCUUCUCUCUAUCUCUAAAUAUUAAUUGUGUACUUGUGUGUAUACAUGCACAUGUGUGCUUGAUCGUGUACAUCCGUAUAUAUGGAUGUUCGCCAAACUCUUUACAUGCUUUUGAGAAAUAAGCUAGCCAUAGUGCAGCAUGUUCUUUCUUUUCUAUUUGCAGGUGUGAGCUUGUACUCUACUACGUGUGUAAAAAUAUUAUAUAUAUAUAUAUAUAUAUAUAUAUAUAUAUAUAUUAGAUAANAUUCCUCGGGACUUGAGUGUGUAACAGAGAAAAUGUCUAAACAUAUAUUUGACUCUUUGAUGACAAUAAAGGACAGUAUUUAUUCAUUUUUCUUAUCUUAUUUUCUACUCUCUAUCACUGGUAGUUUUCUCUUAAGUCGUGACGACCAAUUCAAUUUACAUUAAUCUUUGUUACACAAGGGAUAAGUUACACAAAUUAUUAACACAGCAAAGGUUGUCUAAUAGUUUGCUUGCAUGAUUAAUUAUUUAGGUCUUACGUUAAUAGCUGGAUAGAUUUGAAUUGACUUGGCAAAACUUGUGUAAAUUUGUAGAAUUCUUUUUAUAGAUCCGCAUGCUUUGAUUCUGGAGUUCUCCAAAGAAAAAUAAAUAAAUAAAUAAAUAAAUGAAGUAGCAUUAAUUUCCAAAGUAACACGAAAAGACUUACGGUUCUCUAUUACAUCCUAUGUAUUAGUACUUCACAUUCUUUAUUACGAAUCCGUCUAGGGUAGUAUCGAUGGUAGAUUAAUAGUAUAUUAUUAUCUGUUUUCUAAACUUUGAAUCAAAUACUACUGGAACUACGACCACUAACCCAAACCAUCCAGAGACUGAAAAAUGGAUAGCAAACACUGGUUCUCUAUUAUUGAUAGUAUUCUAACUUUACUCCUCUAUAACAUCGUGUAAGUUAGCAGGUUGUGAUUUUUCGUCCCUGUUAUUAAUGUAUCAUAUAAGUCAUUUUAUUGGCUAAAUAACUUUUUGAAGGUCUUGUUUAAAUCAUUGUUAUUAGAUUAUUUUUUUGGCAUAUUUGUUGAGAAAUUUUGGCAUUUCAUAUCAGAAUUAGUCAGAAUUGAAGUCAGUUUAUGGCAUUUUCUCACUCUAGAAAGAAAAUUGAAAUUAAUAGAUGACUUUGCUUGUUGGCACGUGAUAUGCAGAACUUCUAUUUUGACUUUGAUUUAAGGGUGAAAGAGAAUUCUGUUAAAGUCAAAACGGCGAAAAAUAGAUCCAAAAAAUAAUUUAAUGCAAAAAACGAAAAGAUAAAGCGGAAAGAACACACCGAUAUUUACGUGGUUCGGCCAACGGCCUACGUCCACAGACAAAGACAGAGCAAAUACUUUAUUAAUACCAAAAAGACGGAGUACAAGAGAAUCUCAUAAAGAUUAAAAUUUAAUUAGAUCCAAGACGCCGAAAUCCACAUACGUCGAAACGAGUCCAAAUAGCUUCUCUCCCUCUAUCCGUAUGGAACCAAAUUGCCUUAAUUAGCAUACGGCUGCUCCCAAGCCUUAAUUAGCAUACGGCUACUCCCAGAGUCAAGGCCCUACGGAAUUAGCACAGGUCUAAUUAGCUAAUUAGCGAUGCGGCGUCAUUAGAGGUUGCUUCUAAUUAGAGCACGAUUCUCUCUGCCAAUGCAAAGUGCACCGGCUAGCGUUUCUUCCUCCGUACGGACGGACCACCAAUAACUUAAUUAAUUUUUGUGGCUCUUAAUUUGGUCGCCCUUAAUUAAUUUGGUCGUAGCACAUAUUUAUAAUACGUGUCUCUUGAGUAGAGUCUAAUUCUAAUUCAAUUAGAAUUAUACUCCUAAUUAUAAUCCAUAUAUGCCGAAUUAAAUCUAAAUAAUAUCUAAUCCCAAUUAGAUUAGGAUUUAUCCUCAAUUUAGAUAACUACAAAUCUAAACCAAAUAUAACAAUCUCCACCUUGAUUUAAUUUGUAGUUUAGCCGCUUUUAUGUCGAGAUCGUCACAAACUUCACCUUGAAUUUAAUUUGCCUCAAUGCUCCUGUCACGCCCCGGGGCCGAUUUUAAAAGCCUUUUGAAAACAGAGUUGCGAAAAACGUGCCAUUUUUUUUUUCAAUCUGGCCCACGCGACGUACAGAUCCGCCACAAAUACAAAAUUUUCCUGUCCACUCGGACAGAGUCUCCUUUAUAUUUGCACGGCGUACCAGCUAUACAACAGGAUCUCAACCACAACCUACAUUUACCAAUCAGCAAUCAGUUCAUGACAUGCAUUCCCAUACAGCUAACGAUCCUUAGAAUGAUGCAUGCCUCUAAACACUCCUUAGGCGCUGGAUGAUGCAAUGCACAACACAACAAACAUCUUAUUUAAAAGUGCUCCCCACCCGGAAGCUUUAUUUUUUUGAAAUGUACUUCAUUCACAAAACCAUUCGAAAAUCCUUUUUAAAACGGUUUCCUACACGGAAACUCUAUUUUAAAAACCGACUACCUCGAGGGGUAGAAAACCACGAUUUCAUAAAUACAAGAAAAUCAAAACUCCAAAAUUCCAAGACCACAGAUCUAAAUAUCCAAUCUUAUGCAUAGUAGAAAACCAGUAUAACAGUUCACAACCAUUCACGCAUACAUAAGAUCGUCUAACUGAACCAUUUAUUAAGAAAACUACUAAGUGCGGGAAAGAAGUAAUCAGGGUGACGGUCGCUACUGCCGUCUAGCUAGAUCGUCCUCUCGACGUGCCCAAUACCAACUCCACGUCCGAAACACCUGAAGAAAUGGGGGGUGAGAAACCGCAACCAUGGUUUCUCAGUGGUACAAUAGAGCCACGAAGGCAAGCCGUAAUCACCGGAAACCAAAGAAAAUAGAUAAACAAAUAUAGAUGCUGAUAUGAAAAGUCUACAGUAGCUACAACAGAUAAAUAAGAAGCAAUAAACAAACCUGCUACUGUAUAGAUAACAAUGCAAAGAAUGCCUCAAAGUACUGAACAGAAACUGUACCCAAUCUGUGCCUGCUGUAUUGGUCCGCAGACCUCAAGCGCUGCCUGUCACUAACUGCACCGACCUGAUCCAUCCGCCCCACAGGACGACCCAUCCGGAUAAGUACACCUCCGAUCGUUGGCCAAACCGAUCCGGUGUCAUGAAUACCCCCAAGUGCCGUGACUAAGUCAUGCUGGUAUGCUCAAACAAAAACAAACCCGGCUAAAGCCGGUGCCUAAGCCGAAGCCAACAACGAGGGCGUACAACGCCGAACUGAAAUAGAUACUAGGGCGUACAACGCCGAACCUCGAUCAACCAGAUCGAAACACACGAUAAGAGAGUCGAUGUGUUGCCUGGACCCAAGGUCCACGGAGAUGCAAUGUACAACUACAAGCCUGCUCUACAUGUCUAUCCACAACUAUACAAAUGCAAUCAAUGAAAUACGAUAACCAAACAACUGACAUGUAGAGAUUACGAUACAGAAUGAAAGAAUAGAGGAAGGGUAAAACGGUCUCACCGACUACUAGCUCGAAGCACCCACCUGUCACUGUCGCGUCGAAAACCCGGGGUGCGCACAAUCAAUAACCGGACCUACGAAGAUCCACUAGGUCAGAACUAUCCCACAAAACCCAAAUAUACAACUCACAAACCCCCACACAGGAUCCCCGUAAUCGGUUUCCCAAAACCGAUUACCGUAACUCACCGAAAGUCCCGAAAACCACACCGGGACGCCGUCGGGACCCACUAAGUGUCCCGAACUCACCGACUCGUACAACGAGUCACCCGCUGCCCCAAAACAUUCCAAUUUGGAUGCCUUGGCAGCGAACACAAGGUCACACAACAAUACGAUCAUCGCCGGAUAAUCGUACGAAUCCGGGUUCCCAGAAGUGUCUAUUUCGACACCGGAACCCUCCGUCGCUCACCCAUCAUCACCGAACCCACUAAAUGACGAUAGUGAUAAGCCAACAAGGCUUAGCUACAACACAUAGAGCAAACAAACACCGUCGGAAAGGAUCCGAACCAAAAUCGCAUUCUUUCGGCGAAUUUCGCCGAAAAACGCACCGAAAUCGACUUUUCGAUUUCCGCAGGAGCAAACGGAUCAUGGACAAUCAGUUCAGGAGUCAAACACACUCACACACACUGCCCACAGUAGCCACACAAUGCACAAUUACAUAAAAGACCCUCUAAUUGCAUAAAAUCCCAUUAUUUUAUGUAAUUUGAGCGAUCAAGUGGUUCGUUCACGCAAAUCGAAAUUCCAAAGUCCGCAGAGACACGUACUAACAGGUCUCGACGUACCAGAGGCCGUGCUCACGAUCCGGAGCACAGCGGCUCGCUGUGGGAAGCGCGGGAGCAACCCGAAGGUUCAGCGAACAGCGCGCAGUCAAGGAAGAUCGCGCCGAACAGGACUUACCGGACACUUCUGAUCCAAGGAAAGGUGAGCACUGUGAUCAGCACUGACUAGCGGUCACCGUGCUCACCUCCGGAGGCAUCGGAACAAUCUCGGAUCGGCGAAAAAGCAAGCACAACACAGAACAGCAGCCAAAGAAAGGCUCCACAGGGUCGACACCGCAAAAACAGCGGAAUGGAGUCUCCCCGACAGAAACUAAGGUGAGCACGAUGAUCAGCAAUUAGCUACGAUCAUCGUGCUCCCUUCCAUACAGAUCGGGGAAGCUCGAGAAGCCCAGAACAACAAACAGCCCAACUAAGCCCUAUUUCAGGCUUGGCCGGAGCAACCUUGCUCCGGCCGGCCUCCGGCGGCACAGCGGCGCGCGCGGGGGCCAGGGGCGGACGCGGGGGAGGUGAGGAACACAGUGCUCAACUCGGUUGGCGACAGGAAGCGGCGGCGGCGCCGGCGGGGCAAGAUGAGCCCGCACGGGCUAGGGCACGGGUUCCGCGGCAAUGGCGGCCACGGCGGCGGUCGGGGCCGGUCGGGGACGGCGGAGGAGGGUUGCAGGAGGUAGGGGGAGGGCGGCACAGGUGGCUCAGGGCGGCGGCGGCGCCAGGAAAGGGGCUGCACACGGCUUCGGCUCGGGCUCGGGUUGGAGGGCUGCAGGCGGCUCGCCCGGCGGCAGCGGCGCUCAGGGCGGCUCGGGGCAGAGGCGGCAGACUGCCUGAGGUUGGGGAGGUGCCACAGGGGCGGCCCAGGGCUGCGGCGACGCGAGGAAGAGAUCGCAACAGGUCUCGGCCUGGGCUCGGGCUGGGCGGCUGCAGCCGGCCGAGGCGGCGGCGGCGGCGCGGUGGGGCGGCGGCGACCGGCGGUAAGGGGUGUCGAGGCUCCGUGGACGUCGGCGGGAGGGAUUCCAGGCGGCGGCGGCGCAGGAGGGAGGUCGCGAGUGGGUCUCGGCCAGGGCUCGGCUUGGGCUGGCAGAUGUGGCCCGGGGCAGCAGCGGCGGCGCAGGCGACGGCGGCGGUCGGCGGGGAUGAUCGCCGGAGCACGGGGCGACACCGAGGGAGGGUCCGAAGGUGGCGGCAGUCUCGGGUCUCCUCACAACCCGAGAGGAGAGAGGGAGAACGAAAGAAAGGGAGAGAGAGAGAAGUGGUGGCUGCGGCGGUGGUUGGCCGGCCGGGGCUCAGUCGGCGGCGGCCUGGGCGCGCGCAGCAGGUGCAGGGGAAGGAGAGGGAGGCGGCUGGGUGGUUGGCUAGGGCUAGGUUAGGGUUAGGUGGAACAAAACCCUAAAGAGCAACUAUAUAUACAAGGUACAACUUGCAAGAAAGCCCCUCAAACAUCAGUAAUUUGUACCGAGUCCCUCGCAGCACGACUAAAACGCACGAAUACCCCUCCACGUGCGAUCCCACGCGAAACGGUACAUAAAAUAUCGCGACUUUUGUGAAAAUACCGUUUUGCCACUACUGACCUCUCCUCGAUCAACGCGUAAUCUCCGCAGAUCCGUCCGUCAGAUUCGCGAACGGAUCAUACCAGUACGAUCAACACGACGGAGACAACAAAGCUGCGAUUUCGUUUCGGCUUGAUCGCCCACGGAUUCACGACAAAAUCCAACCUUCUUCCAGCAGAAGAAAUCACACACAUAAAUACAUAUAGAAUAUAUAUUUUUGGAUUUUCUCGAAAUCCGUGCGUCAAACUCAAAAUCCGUCAGCGCCACUGGUUCCAGAACAGCUGAACCGGUCGAAACGAGCUAUUGGACUGCUAUGAACGGAGUCCGGUACGAGCCAGAAGCCAACUUCCCACCGCGGCUUCUCCGGAAAAUCGAGUUACUAUUCACUUUAAGUGAAACUUGGAAAUCGCGUAGAAUUUUCGUUUUAACUCGUUUUCGCCCGAAACUUGACGAGUGCUUUUGUAAUUAAAUUACACACAAAAAUAUUGUCAACUGAGAGUUUAACUACACUUCAAAAAUCUCAGUUCGUACAGCUCCUUAACGCUCCAUACUCCGUCUUCUCCAAACGCCCCAUAGGGCCUCAAAUGCUGCUAACUACAUUCAAGUUCAAACAAUACUUGAACUUGGUAAUCGUAAGAGACUUAGUAAGCAUAUCCGCCGGAUUGUUCUCAGUACCAAUUUUCUUAACAGUCACUGUGCGUUUCCCAAUCACAUUCCGAACAAAGUGAAACUUUACAUCGAUGUGCUUUGUCCUCUCAUGAAACAUUUGAUCUUUCGACAAAUGAAUAGCACUUUGAUUGUCUGAAUAAAUAAUCGUUGGAUCCCAAUAAGAAGUAAGCUCUCCAAAUAAGUCUCUUAACCACAUAGCUUCCUUCACACCCUCUGUUAUAGUAAUAUAUUCCGCCUCCGUCGUAGACAAGGCGACAAUAGGUUGUAAUGAAGCUUUCCAACUAACUGCACAUCCGCCAAUAGAGAAUACAUAACCUGAAAGUGAUCUCCUCCUAUCCAAAUCACCUGCAAAAUCCGAAUCAUUAUAUAUGAGUUAGGUGAAGCUAUCCUGGUUGAGAAUCUCAUCUAAUUAUGUGUACAAUUUUGAGGUAAAAGUCUACAUGCCUAGCAUUGUAGCUUCUGCAAUUGUAAUGUAAAAGAGUUAAAAUAGGAAAAGUGCACCUUGUGCAUAUGCGUUCGUAUAAAAGAUUCCUUAUAUAGUAGAGGUAUAUACAUGUACUAAUUAAUCAACUUUAGGACAAAGAUGCAAGGAAUUUCGAGCCGUACACCUUUAAUUAAUUUGCUUUAGAAUUGGUUCCCUCUUAAAGUGGCAAGUAAAGAAUCAAAGUUUCCUAGCUUGAAUUUCUGAUUUCACCAAGUGGCAAGCCAAAUUAUAGACCAUUGAAGUCUGUCUGUCUCACCAAAAGUGGAGUGGAGAGUGAAUUCAUUUUUAGUAUAAAUGUUCACUUCUGUUGUUUGGCUCACCUCAUAUAACUUCAUUUUCAGUCGAUGCUUAAACUUUUCAAAACUCCGUAAUUGACUUCAGACUACUUUGGGCCGAAAUCAGUUGCGAAAAACAAAAGUGAGGAAAAAAAAUAAAAUAUUAAGUAUGGAAACUUUAGCUUUUAUGUCAUUAACUUUGUAAUGCCCCCAAUAGUCUCAUAUCGAAUGGAAUACUAACUCUGAUCAGUUUAUAUGAGGCCUAUAUGUUAGUAAUAAUAACUGGACUUAAACAUUUUGGGCCGGUGGUUUGAAUCGAACGAGUUAUUGUUGCUAGCGGAUUGGACCGUUACAAACUUUCUGCCAAACACAUAGCAAAACUCGAGAAAAAAAAUUAUUUUGAGAUUCUAGACUAUAUCCAGCAUAGGACUUCCGACUAAUAUUUGGCUUUAAUACCAAUUACAACGGCCCAACCCGCUAGCAAUAAUAACUCGUUGAACCCAAACUACUGACCCAAAAUACUUAAGUCCAAUUAUUAUUACUAGCAUGUAUGUCUUAUAUAUUCUAAUCCGAAUAAGUUUCCCACCUGAUGUGGGACUAGGACGUUACAGAAAAUAACUAAGUUUUAAUUUUAUUUUAAAUUUUUAUAAAACAAAUUAUGUUUCUCAAAAUUAAUUUACUAUUUUUUUAAAAAAAUAAAAUUAUCAGCAUGAAACGCAUGGGUCAGCAACCAAUUUAUUUUGAAAUUAAUUAGUCAAAUACUAUAUAAAUCAAAGAAUCGCCAACUCAACACCAUUAGUUUGCUUUAAAAUGAUUUUUUUUUUUUUCAAAAUUGCACGUAUAGAAUGAUACUUUCAUACCCAAAAAUAUAAUUUGUCUAGAGAGUUAAAAACAGGAAAUAAAUUUGGUAGGUAAUUACUAAAUCUAUCUCCAGAUCCAUCUCUUGUUUACUUGCUUUAGAAUUUGUUCCUUUCCAACAUAACAAGUAAGGAAUCAGACUCUUUUUUUCUUUUCUUUUUAACUCCUACCUGCCUAUAAAUACAUUCUAUUCUAGUUGUUCCCUUAGCAAGUUGAAAGCCUUAUACUCUCAUAUGGCAAGGAAGACCUAUACUAUGGAUUUGCCGAUACCGAGCUGAGUGAAUGAGCGCAUGAAGGAAUGUUUUGGAAAGCGGUAGGAAGAUACGGUGUUCGAUACUCGCCUAAAUGGACACAACCAGCCAUUUGGAUCUGUCUGGUGUUUUUUCUCCUUAACGCACAAAUAGGCAUUUAGUCAUUCGGAUUCUAUCUGGACUCUUCCUCCUUGACGCACAAAUAGACAUUUAGUCAUUCAGGUAUGCAUAUAUUUAAUUUCUUACAUAUUCUUACCACUUAUUGUUUGUUGUUUCGUUAUUUUUCUGAUUUUGUUAUUGGUUAUUGCAACUGAGGUUUAAGGCUUCUUUUUAUUCAAUAGGGAUUAAGUUUCUUAGAUAAUACAAUUAAUCGACUGUAAAAAAGAAACUCCUAACAAUAUAAGAUAACUAUUCAUUAAAAUCAAGCUUAGAAGGAAGGAAAUGAUAUUCUAAUGUGAUAUGUAAUUAAGAGAAUUUAUUAUGAUUAUAUGCCUGAACACAUUAUAUAUAAUAUCUAUUGGAUUUCGAAGGGAGUCAACACUCUAUUGCUUUAUUUUAGUUUUCCUUCGCAUUCUUUUAUGGCCUAAUUGUAAUCGCCAUUUACUUGUUCAUCCAAACUCACAACUCUUAAAACUUAGAUGAAAACUAUGCUAUAUGGUUUAUGAAACAAUAUAUAAUAGUGUUUUUUUAACAUAGCUUUCUUUUUUUCAACUAUUUGAUACUUUAGCAAUAGUUUUAAAAUCUAUAAUUUUUCAUGUCUAAACUAUGUAGGGUUCUAUAUAACCUUUGAGUGUGCGUGUGUGUGUUUGUGCAAGGAAAAAUUCUAGAAUGCAACAGGUAUAUUGAUGACGUGGCGUAACAAGCCAAUCAAAUAUCUCCUUUUAGAAAUAUAUGUUCCAUCAUAAUUAUAAAAAAAUAUUUUUAUUGUACUUUUAUUUGAAAAGAAGAAAUGUGAUUGGCUUGUUAUUGAUGACGUGGUGCAAGUGUGACAGUGUAGAAUUCCCCAUGUGAGAGAGAGAGAGAGAGAGAGAGGGAGGUAGCUGCUUCGUUUAAUUUGUUUUUAAAAAUGCGUCCAGCUAGAAAUGCAAAAUAAUUAGGCUUCGUUCAGUUUGGAUAUAAAUAAAAAUGACUUAUUUCAAAAAUAAAUAUAAAUUUAGAUAUAAAUAAGAAACUAGACCAAUUUUACAUUUAGAUGAAAAUUGGUUGUUUUUAAAAAUAAGAAAAAUUACGUUUGGAUAGAGAAAUAGAAUAAGAAAAAUAGUAAGUAGUUAUAAUGUCACGCCCCGGGGCCGAUUUUAAAAGCCAUUUUGAAAACAGAGUUGCGGAAAACGUGCCAUUUUUUAUUUUUUUUUUCAACCUGGCCCACGCGACGUACAGACCCGCCACAAAUACAAAGAUCCUCUGUCCACUCGGACAGAGUCUCCUUUGUAUUUGCACGGCGUACCAGCUAUACAACAGGAUCUCAACCACAACCUACAUUUACCAAUCAACAACCAAAGUAUGAUAUGCANUGGCUUCUCCGGAAAAUCGAGUUACUAUUCACUUUAAGUGAAACUUGGAAAUCGCGUAGAAUUUCCGUUUUAACUCGAUUUCGCCCGAAACUUGACGAGUGCUUUUGUAAUUAAAUUACACACAAAAACAUCGUCAACUGAGAGUUUAACUACACUGCAAAAAUAUCAGUCCUCACAUAUAAAUAGAAAAAUGAUAUUAUCCCUCUUGUUAUAUUUGAAUUUAAAUUUUUAAAUUUUAAAUUUUUAUUGUUAAAGUUAAAAUUUUAACUUUUAAAUUUUAAAAUCUGAAAUUAAAAUUUAAAGUUAAACUCUCUUAUUUUAAAUUUCAAAAUUUUAAAAUUUAAAUUUUAAAUUUUAAAUUUUAACAUUUAAAUUUUAAAUUUUAAAUUUUGAAUUUUAAAAUUUAAGAUCUAGUUUAAAUUUAAAAAUAUAAAAUAUCAAAAUUUAAAUUUAAAAAAUAUAAAAAUAUCAAAUUUAAAUUUAAAAUUUAGAAUUUAAAAUUAUAACUUUUAUUUUUAACAUUACAAAUUAUUAAUUUUAAAAAUUUAAAAUUAAAAUUAAAAUUAAAAUUUUUAAUUUUUAAAUUUAAAAAAAAAAAUAGGGGUGGGAACCAGCAGUUCCCACCCCUGUUUCACCUGAGGGUGGGAACAAGCAAUUCCCAUCUUUAAUUAGUAUAUAUUUGUGUUUGGGUACGAAAGGGGAUAAGAGCUUAUUCCUCCUCUUGUACCCAGUCCGGCUCGUAGUAGGGUUCAAAAUUGAAAACCUCGAAUACCAGCCAUCAACUGGCAUCAAGCUUUUAGUCAAUUACGCUAGAUAUAUACAAUCGACAGCACCGGAUUACAUUUUAAUGCUUAAGCACAAUUAGAGCUUCAUAGAUGAUUUGAAUUAAUUUGCAUGAUUUGAGAAGAUUUCAUAAGUAUAAACAAAUCUGAUAUUUUGGGAUUGGAUUUACCAUAAUUUUUGUUCUUUUACAUUUAAGAAAAGUAAUCUAACCUUAAAAAAAAACUCUUUGUAAUUUUUUUAUAAACCACGUGACUAAGGAGAAAUUGCAAUCAAAGGCAUUUCACGCCCCAAAUAAACUAACUUAAAAAUCACAAAAUGUGAUUCUAUUUUGUUUAGGCACUAGAAAGAGUAAAUAUUUAAGCCAUUUUUUAAACAGGCCCUUAACUUGUAGUUUUCUAGCUAUUUAAAUCCGCUUAACUUAUGAAUUUUUUAAAAUUAAGUUAUUUUAGACUGAAAAUUAGAGUAUUUUAUCAAAUUUAUUAGCAAUUUCACCAAAUCUAAUGACUUUAAUUAAUUUUAAGCAUAGAGGUGAGAGGGUCUCCUUACAUUUUUACUUUUAUUUAUCUAUAAUUAAUAAAAUCAGAAGCCGAAGCUUUGGAUUAUUUUUAUCAAAUGGCAAGCCAAAAUAUAUAGUUGAUGCAUGACAACCUUAUUUACGACAAUUACAUUAUUUAUAACUAAAAGAAUUUUAGAUUAUUAAGCAAUCAGUGUAUUUAUCUAUAACUACAUCGAUCUAAUGUAUAAUCUUAGCCAAUCUUAUUUUUUUAAAAAAAAAAUUAUCUAUGCAAAUAAUUACGCUUUAGAUUUUUUUUAUAAAUUUUUAUAAAUCUAUUUUUUUAAAUUAGCUUUUUAUUUUUUUCAAAAAAAAAAGAUUUUAAAAAAUAUUCAUGUGGAACGCGUGGGUUAACGGCAAGGUCAACGACUAGUUUAUUUUGAAAUUAAUCAACCCGAGAAUACGGAAGCAAAGAAUUUCCAAUUCUACAAUUUUGAUUUGCUUUAAAAUGAGUUCUAUUCUAAAGUGGCAAGCAAAGAAUUAUACUUUUGUAGUUGAAACUUCUGCUUUCGCUAAGCGACAUGCCAAAUUGUUGACAUGUGGAAAUCUUACUAUGACAAUUAAUGUUUUUAUAAUUAAAAUAAGUUUAGACUAUUGUGGAAAGAGUUAAAAAUAGAAAAGAAAUUCAAGUAUCCAAUCAGUAUAUUAAUUUAUAGAUUAAUGACUAGUUUAGUUAGAAAUUGACCUAUGUCUCUAAUUUUUGUUAAAAUGGGUUCCUUACUAAAGUAGUGAGUAACGAAAUUAUGCACAUGCGAUGACAUUUCUAUGAUUUGAAAUGGUUCUAUAUAGGAGAUAUAAUAGGACUAAACCUUUUAAUCUGAUUAAAGUAUUUUGAACGGUGGCUUGGUUUAAAAAGUUAAGACAGUUAAGCGUGUUAGGAUUAGACUAGUUCUAGGAUUGAUGACCCCUUGGAAAGCGAGGCAUCACUUUUUUUUUAGGAGAAACACGCCCUAAGGUGAAUUUAUUUAGCAAUCGGUAGGUACAACUUGAGAGAAUUCAUCUACAGAGGACCAAAAAGACAGUUUGUUGCUAGAGAGCCCCCAGUAGGCCAAACGAUCUGCAACUACAAUAUUUUUAGAAUAUCUUGAAGACCGUCCAUAGCUAAAUUGCUUGGAGCUUUCAAGAAAAUUUUGAAGAUCCGUGAUUCUUGUUCGAGCUUCAUCUGUUAGCGAAUCUGAAUGAUAGCUCCUAAAAUGCAAGGCUUUGAUGAUGGGUGCUGAAUCUGAGUAGAUAUGAAAAGUUUCUCCCGGAUACCUUUGCAACAAAAGAUUUGUCGCUCGGGAAAUUGCUCCAAUUUUCGCUGAGCAGGCAUCAUGGACAUCCUUCAGUACAUCAGAUAUGCACAUAAUGAUUUCAUGCUGAUUGGCAAUCAGGCAUCCUACACCACCUGUAGUACCACCUUUCCAACUCCCAUCCACCCAUACUUGUAAGGAAAAGGUCGCAGGUUCUUGAAUCAGAGUUGGGUCCUGUAUGCUAAUCCUCAUCAUGUUCUCUUUAGAAUAUAAGGUCGUCCAGCUGCGAGCCCGUGAAAUGAUGGCAGUGAUGUUGAAAUUUUUUCCUUCAAAAAUCAUCUCAUUUCUUCCUUUCCAUAAGCUCCAUAAUAGAUGAACACAGAAAGCCCUAUGAGUCGCCAUGUCUUUAUUAGUUAGGAUAAAGAAAAUCUAAAAGGACGGAGGCCUAUCCGCAUUAUCAAUUAGAAGGCCUAUACUGGAUGCGAACCAGACAUGUCGUGUUUGCUCACAAUUAAAAAAUAAAUGUACCAACGUCUCAGGCUCUUGUAGGCAAAACGGGUAGAGUCCAUUAAAGUUAGGUAGUCUCGAGGCUAGUGCGGCUCCAACUGGUAACGUGUCUGCUACUAGUCUCCAGAAAAAUACUUUAGCUCGAGGCAUCACAUUUUUUAUGCCCCAAACUUUUCCCCAGAUAGUAUGCUGGUUUUCAUGUGGCUGAUGCAAUUAGCUAUGAUCCAGACCAUCGUUUAAAUGAUUGAUAGCGGAUCGCAGGGUGAAGCGGCUAGAUUCGGAGAAUUUCCAUCGUAGUUGUUCAGAAUUUUGGACCACAGCGUUCGCCAUGAAAUUACGGAUUUGUAACAUAGAGCGCCAAAUAGGUGAAACUACAAGUCUGUUUUGAGCCGACCAGAAGCUGAGAUUGUUAGCCCGAUUGUACUUGUUCGCCAGAACCUGUGCCCAUAAUGAUGUUGGCCUUGUGAGGAGCGACCACACCAAUUUGCAUACUAGGGCGCGAUUAAGCGUUGACAGGGAUGGUAUACCAAUCCCCCCGAGUUCCCUGUUUGUAGUUAGUUUUGUCCAUGCCUUUGGGUAAUAAUGGUGACCUCCUGGCUUGAAGCCCCACCAGAAAUCUCGAAUAAUUUUUUCCAUUUGGGGAAGAAAUUUUGCAGGAAGUAGAAUGAAACAAAUAGAGUAUCGAGGUACCGCUAGGAGCACCGAUUGUAUAAGAGUGAGACGCCCCGCAUGCGAUAGAUUUCUAGCUUUCCAUCCAGCUAAUCUGCUUUGUAGUUUAUCAAUGAUGAAACUGAAGGUGUUGGUUAGGGACCAUUCCAAGCAUCACACCUGCUGCAAUUUAGUUUAUGGCCAUUAUAUUUUUAUAAUUAAAAAUGUUUAAACUACAGUGGAAAGAGUUAAAAAUAGAAAAUACAUUUGGACUGGGAAUCAACAGAGUCUUAUCCAUCCAUCUUUAAUUAAAUUUUCUUUGAAAAUAAUUAGGUUUUAAGGUUAUUAUGAUUUUUUAUAAAAUAAAUUAGUUGUCUUAAAAUUAAUUUACUAUUUAUUAAAAAAAAAGAAAUAUCAGUGUGCAACUAAGGGUUUAGCAACUAAUUUAUUUUAAAAUUAAUUGAUCCAAAAUUACAAAUCAAAGAAUCCCCAACUCUACAUCUUUAGUUUGCUUUAAAAUAGAUUUUUUUUUUUUCCAAAGUGGCAAAUAAAGAAUGAUACUUCUAUAGGUAAAGUUUUUACUUUCGGUCAACAGCACGCCAGAUUAUUUACGUAUGUGACAAUCCUUUUUAAGACAAUAAUUUUAUUUGUAUAAACCAUUAAAACUAGAAAAUAAAUUUUGGUAUGCAAUUAGUAAAUCUAUCUGUAGUUGCAUCUUAAAAAAAUUUGCUUGCUUUAAAAUAUAUUCCUUUCCAACAUAGCAAGUAAAGAGUUAGACUUUAUUUCUCACAUAUACUUGCUUAUUAAUACAUUACUUUCUAAUUGUUUUGUUCAGCAAGUUGAAAGCCAUUUGGAUCUCUCUGCGGCUCUUUAAUUUCUCAUUUAAUCAUUCGGGUACGCACACAUUUAAUUUCUUGCAUUAUUCUUAUUACUUAUCAUUUGAAUUUUGUUUCGUUAUUUUUCUGAUUUUAUUAUUGGUUAUUAUAAUUGAGAUUUAAGGCUUCUUUUUAUUCAAUAGGGAUUAAGCCCCUUAAAUAACACUAGUGUAGUAACUCGCGCGAUGCGGCGAAUAAAUAAUAGAAGAAAAAAUAAAAAAUAUUGAAGAAGAAGAAGAAAGGAGUUUGGAAAAUAAAAAAUUCAAGUGUGUUUUAUUUUUUGGGUAGGAAAAUGUAUGAAUUGAACUAACCAAUAUAAGUAUUGAAAAUUGAUACCUGCCGAAUCACCAUUUAAAGAAAAAACCUACAAAGGUCGUAUGAAGAUGGAGAUGAUAAUGUUGCGAUCAUGACAACGAUGGCGAUGAAAAUAUCAUAGAAGUUUGUAUGAUUUUGCACCCUUUUGGGCAUGGAAUGGUCAGAACUUGCGAGCCAGAACUGCCACAUUAAUUAUGAAAUCAAAACUAACAUCUAAAUUAAUCAAAAUAAUGCACAUAAAUCAAAUACUUGAUUGAUACAACCACUAUAUAAAAAAUAAUUAGGGCUUGGAGGACUCUCUUGUUCUUCCCCAAUCUUUAGAUAUGAAAAUAGUAACUAUUCAUCUCUCCUCUUUUAAUUUUGAAUGUUAGGAAUUGUUUGAGGGAGAAGCAAGAACUAAUAUUGAAGAGGAAAAACUCAGUAACGUAUAAAUUAAAAGCACAUUGAUUACAUAUUAUUGAAUAGAGAUGAGGGGAGGGAAAAAGCCAUGAGUAAAGAUCAAUUCAAAAAAAAGGUUAGUGAGGGUGGAGGAAAACUUGCCACGUGGCAAAAAGAACUAAUAUUGAAGAGGAAAAACUCAGUAACGUAUAAAUUAAAAGCACAUUGAUUACAUGUCAUUGAAUAGAGAUGAGGGAAGGGGAAAAGCCAUGAGUAAAGAUCAAUUCAAAAAAAAGGUUAUUGAGGGUGGAGGAAAACUUGCCACGUGGCAAAAAGAACUAAUAUUGAAGAGGAAAAACUCAGUAACGUAUAAAUUAAAAGCACAUUGAUUACAUGUCAUUGAAUAGAGAUGAGGGAAGGGGAAAAGCCAUGAGUAAAGAUCAAUUCAAAAAAAAGGUUAUUGAGGGUGGAGGAAAACUUGCCACGUGGCAAAAUCAUUGAGAAUUCAUAUAGAUAAAUAGAUGAUUACAUGACUGCAAACAGAACAAACUUCUAAUAUUAUAAGGUAAUUAUUCAAAUAUUAAAUCAAGCUUCGAAGGAAAGGAAAUAUAUAACAUUCUAAUAUGGCAUUUAAUUGAGAGGAUUUGUGGUGAUUAUAUGACUAAACACAAAUAAUAUAUAAUAUCUAUUGGAUUUCGAAGAGAGUCAACAUUUUGUUUCUUUAUUUUAGUUUUCCUUUGUACUUUUUUAUUGCCUAUUUUGUAAUCGCCAUUUAGUUGUUCAAUCAAACUCGAACUCUUAUUAAAACCCAAAUGAGAACCAUGGCGUUUAUGAAACAAAUAUAGCUGAUUUUUUAAACUAUUUGAUAUUUUAGCAAUAAUUUUAAAAUCGAUAAAUUUUGAUGUAUAAACUAUGUAGGGUCUUUUUUUUUUUUUUUUUUGGCGAUAGAAAAUACCAAAUACUAAAUGACCAAAUACCAAAUAACCAAACAACUAGUAGGGGUAAGCUUAACAUUCAAUUUAAGGAUUAAUUUCAUGAGUACCCCUCUACGCAUAUUUAAUUACAUACAAACCCUCCAAAAAUUAUCAAUAUUAAAAAUACUUGUUUAAUUUUCAUAAACGGAAACGGAAUGACUCAUUACCUCAUUCUAUUUGAUUCGCCGCCUUAAUCAGAAUUGAAAUGAACUAUUUUUAUUGUCAGUAUUUAAUUGGUUUAGUUAAAUUUCAGAAAUGGAAUCAAAUUAAUAUAUCAAAUUUAUCUUUAUAAUACAUUUUAAUUACUUUUCACGAUUUUGAAUACUCUAUUUAGAAUAUAAAUGAGUAACUUAUAAAAUAAUUAAUGAAAAGUAAGACAAUUUUAUAUUUUAUAUUAUUUAUAUGAAUAAACAAUUUAUUAUUAUUUUUUAUUGUAAUAAUUAUAUGGUAACAUAUAAAUCAUAAAAUUUUAUUUGAUUCUAAUAAGUACAAUAGUUUACAAAACAUAAUCAUUUUGUCAAAAAAAAAAAAGGGGGAAAGAGAAGUCAUAUUUUCAAGAUCAAUAUUAUAGUAAACUAAAAUUAUUGAUAACAAUAUAAAAUUACCCAAAAUAAUAUAUCAUUAUUCCAAACAGUCUAAAAAAAAUUAUUAUUAAAAUUGUAAAUAAAAUUACCCAAAACUAUGAUCUAGUAAAUAAAAAUAAAUUUUUAAAUAUUUCUGCUAGACCCAUCGGAAUUUGGAUUGACAAAAUAAUAUAAAAUUGAGUUCACAACUCAAAACAUAAAAUUUUAUAAUUUAAAUUCAAACUAAAAAUUAAAUAUUAAAAAUUUACAUCAAAAUUUUUAAAUGAUGUCAAAAUUUUAAAUAUANCAAAAUAUAAAACUAAAUUUUGAUUUAUUCAAAUUCAAACUUAAAAUUAUAAUUUCAAUUUCAAUUUGAAUCCAUAAAAUUUAAUUUAAAUUUUAAAUAAAAGUUUAAAUUUUAAAUUAAAUUAAAAUUCAUAAAUUAGAUCCAAAAUGCUUGAUUGAAUUUAAUUUUUAAUUCAAGUUCAAAUUAAAAUUAAAAUUUAUAAAUUUAAUUUCUAACUUUAAACUUAUAUUUUAUUACUAAAUAAGGUUAAAAAAAUAAAUUUAAUCCGAACAAACAUCCAUUCCGUCCGGAUUCAACUUCCAAACCGGCCAACUAGGCCGGAAUGGGAAAAAGGGCUAAUCCUGCAUUAAUUCCUAUUCCGAUUUCUAGGUGAAAAAUAGAUGAACUAAACACACCCAUAAAUUAAAUCAAAAGUAAAAAAUUAUAUGUUAAUAAACUAUUUUAAGGGGUAAAUACAUCUUUUGUGUAUUCUACUGAAGCAAAUUUUACCAAAUGGAGAUUUAUGAUGUAAUUUAUAGAUUUAUAGGGGUAAUAUUAAUAUUGACAAUUUUGAAGAGAUAUCUUUGAUAUUUUUAAAAUUUAGACAGACACGUCUGAAAUUGCUCCUAAAAAAAAAAAAAAAAAAAAAAAAAAAAAAUCUAGAAGUUGAAAUAUGAAAAUUUUCCUUGUAAAGUUUAAUAUCAAUAUAAAUAAUUUUAAAGGUGUGUGAAAAAGUUUUAAAAAAUUUUACACAAUGUGAAAAAAUUUGUAUUUAGUAAUAGAGAAUCUGAAAGGCUACGAAGGUUUAAAUUUGGAUCUAUUUAAUUAUAUUUAUUAGUGGAAUAUGUGAAAAAGUUUAAGUUUAGGUUUUCUUAAUUGAUAGAGUAAUUAAUAAACUAAGAGUCUAAAACAUAUUUAGUACUGCACAAAUAUAGUUAAUUCAUUUAAUUUUUUACUUUAUAGUACAAUGUAGAUGCAGAUAUAGAUUCGCAAAAUUAUGCUCGAAAACGCGCACUCAGAAUGAAAAUUAUAGCAGAACAUAAACAAUUUAAUCAAAACGUACUAAGCGAAAAGAAAUGAAAUUUUAUUUAAAUGAAAAGGGAAAAUUAUUUAAUUUUACUUACUAAAGAGUGAUUAAAACUAUUUAACUUGAUAAAAUCUCAUCAAGCAAUUUGAUAAAUUGAUCCUUUUUUUUUCCUUACAGUUACUUAGUUCUAAAAAAUCAAAAUUAGUUCCAGAAAAAGUGUAAAUCCAAAAAUAAAUAAAUUAAUUAAUUACUUAUAAGUUAUAACAAGGAAAACCUUUUCACCAUCGUAGUUAUAGUGCAUAGGAUUUGCAACACCUAAUCAAAUAUCUCCCUAUUACAUAAAAAUAAAAUAAAAUAAAAUUACUAUUUUAAUGUACAAUUACUUUUUCUUUUCUUUUUUUUCUAAUCGGGCUUUUUUUUUUUUCUAACUGUUUUAAUUUACAACCCAUUCAACUUAAUUUUGAAGAUUUAAAAUGCAUUGAAACAAAUUUUAAAAUAUAUAAAUUUGUAUCAUAAGUUAAAAAUAUACAUAAUACAUAAUAAAAUUAUAACUUUAAAAUCAUAAAAAAUUAUAAGUUUAUUAAUUUUCAAACUUUAAAAAUAAAUAAUGUAAUAUUUAAAACUGUGUAAUUAAAUUUAAUACUCUAUAUUUUUAAAGCUUUUAAUUCGUAAUAAUUGCGUACCUUCAAGUAACCAUGCACAACGGGUGUGGGUGUGUGUGUGUCUAAAAUUUUGAAAAUAUCUCAAUUUGUAAUUAAUUAGAUAUACUGUUUUUGUUUGAAUAAUAAAUCAUAUAUAUAUAGAGGCCAGGUUAAUUUAUAGCUAGCGAUCGGCAGGGAGAAUUAUUAAUUAAGAAAAGGAAAGAAAGCUACAAAUUAAUUGACUAGCUCUAUCGAAUAUCGAUCGGUGAAUAUAUAUAUAUAUUAUUAUUAUUCUCGCCACAGAUGGAUUGACGAUCGAUUAAAUUAAAACCCAGCUAUCACCAUGAGCACAUUCAUGCGGGGCGACUACGAAGAGAUAAAGAAGGGUGUGCUUCGAGACUUGCUCGAUGGGUCCUUCCAGAAGAUCUUCGUGAAGGCAUGGAAGGGAGUCGGGGCGACCGCUUUACUCCAAGAGGUGGCGGAAGCGGUCGAGACGCGGGGGAAAGGCGAGUUUGAGACGGUGAUCAAGGUGGUGCGGCCCGCACCAUUUGGGAACCGCAGGGAGAUGCAGAGGGCGGUGGCGGAGCAGCUGAAUCUACUAUCUCCUUCAGUCACGGCCGCGUUCGACGACGCAGACGAAGACGACGACUUCUGGGGUGAGGAAUUCAGCUCAAGAGAUAUGGUUCCGAAGGUAAAAAUGGAGAUCUACCGAGCUGUGAAGGAUCAUAAAGUGCUGCUCGUCCUUUAUAAUAAUAUUGCCGAUGCCAAAUUAAUUGAUCCUAAUGAUUUGGGUAUUCUUAUCACAAAAGGGUUGAUCAACAAUGCGGCCAUGUGGACCUCUGGGAUGAAUAUUAGCAUGGAAGAAGCCGCGUCAGCGAGUGCGGAUUUUAGCGCAACGAUUAAUUCACCAAAUGAAGAAGCCGCACUUGAUCUUGUGUACAAGGAGGCCGUCGAGAUUGCCCGUUACAUUGACAAGAGCAGUGGUGGGAGCUUGCGGACCACCCCGGAAUUAGUCCUCCGCUGCUUUUGGUAUUACCUGCUGUUGUUGCGUAGAGCAGCGUUUAACCGAUCGGCACUACUACCCCAUGAUGGUCGGCCCCUGGAAGCUGCUGUCAAGUAUUUUGUGUGCGACGGAAUUUUACAUGGAGAUGAUGAUGCGGCGGCGUGGGAGAUUGGGAAAGCACUAGCUCCGCUGAUUGGACCCAUCGUAAAUGAUCAACUACUGCAAUAUUGGCAGAAAGAAUUAACCUCUACCACUUGGACGCCGAGAGGGAAAAAUAAAGAGCUGUUGCCCCCGAAAACUUUAUUGAUCGACUCUACCACACAGAGAGAUUGGGCAAAGUUCUCAUCGCCAUCAUCAUCGAAGGAGGAGGAGAGUAGUUACCGUUGGAUCUCGGUGCGCUCUCCUCAAACUAAUAUUCCAGAGCCAUGGGAUUUCUUCUUCAAAGAAUACCGCGGUUCAGUCUUAUCUGAUGUUUCAUCCGUCUUUUGGCAUUUCAAGAAAACACAUGAAGUAGCUCUACCGGACAGCUUCUUCGACCAUUUCAGCAACGUUCGAGUGCUGGAGCUUCUCGGCUGCGUAGUAAGUCCUAUAGGACAUUCCUCCUUCCUUCGUCUUCGCAACCUGAGAAUGCUUAGGCUGGAGCGGUGCAAAGUGAUUACCAAGCAAUGUUCUGUUGAUCCAACCUCUCUCUCGUUAGCGCAAGAGGAACAACGAGAGCCAAUAUUUUUUGAUAACUUAUGGG
rnacentral:lncRNA from 1 species